CAAUAUUCAUUGUUAUCUUCCUAAAACAUCAUCAGUUAGAAUAACAUAAAAAAAUAACUUACUGAUGGGCAUCAUUCCAUCUUCCUCUUGCAUUCUUGGUCUUGAAGGGUUAUGCAUAGUUUCACAUGCCUUUACAUAGUUAUCAACUUAUCAUCAUUCUGAAGACAUGCUCAUACCAAUGACAGUUUUGCUUUAUAUGGUCUCCAAAACUAAGCUUUUCAUCAUGGUUAAGGACUAUGCCUUUUCUUUUGCCUUCUAACAUCUCUGCAAAUGUCAAAUUUUUGGUCGGAGGCAUGCUUCUUUUCUUUGGAGUCUACAAAACUGGAUUUGUCAUGAAUAGGCUUUGAAAUUGAGAAUCAAUUUGCACAGCCUCCUCUUGAAGCCAAGCCAGAAGAACAUGCUUGCAAGAAAUUCAUAGGCUGAAGGACCUUUACCUUAACCAUGAUUUUAUCUUGGAGAUGGAACAAUACAACUACCAAAAAUGAUUCAGCUGGUCCCAUCACUCUCCUGGACCGAGUUUGAUAUUCCAAAACAUAUUUCAGGUUGGCAUAGCUUUGAGAGUAUUCCUCUUGAAUCUGCAUAAUUGAGAUAUAUAGCAUGGGUUGGAGACUGGGCUAUGACCAUAAUAAUCCCUCUCUAGGAUGUUAUUUUCUUGGUUGUUCCUUUUCCGUCUUUCCUGCUGGAAACUUACCAUCAAAUUUAGGAAACUCAGCUUUUUACUUUUUGGGUUUGAAUGGCAAUUUCACCAUAUCCCACUCCAUAUUGGCCUUGGGAACUUGAUACAUCUAAUGGUGGCAUACCAGAAGAUUCUUGGACUGCAACUUCUUGAUUUUGAUAAAGUUUCUUGAAGUGGGAAACGACUUUCACCUAUCUCCAGAAGUUGACGUAGGUUCCAAUCUUGACAUCUAUCCUUGCUUUCAGAACCGCAAGUUCAUUCUCCAUUAGUGCCAAGUACAUUAUCCCAUUAACCAAAACGAUGACUGGUAUCAAUUGAUAUGGCUAGAACUGCAAGUGGGUUGGAUAGGGUCAGGAAUUUGCUUGAUCCUUAUCCAGCUUGAUAUUAAUUUUGGGUCUAAUCCAAUCUGACCUAGUUUGAAAUUGAAUUUUGAUCGGGUCAAAUUGACCUUUGUAUUUUUCUGUCUCAAUAGGAAUACUGGGUUGAAUUGGUUAGAGGUGGAUCCAAAUCCAAACCCAUACUUCUGGGGUUGGGUUUGUGUUGGGGAAAAUUUAUUGAGGAAUUGAACUGUUUGUGGUUUAUUUACUUUUAAUAAUAAAUUGCAUUGCAUAUAUUUUAAUUUCCAAUACCUACAUGGUCAUUGUAAUAACGUUUGAAUAAUAACUACAAAUAGUUCAAUUUAUAAUUUCAAAACUUGUUAAUCACAAUAAUAAGAGUAACAAAUUUGUUGUGCCAUAACCAACAAGCCUUAUCACAACUAUUUGGGGUUGGACCAAAAAAAAAGAAUUACUUAUUACAUCAUACCUGGUGGGACUCAUGCCCCAAUUACAUGAUGAGCAGACAGUUCUACACGUCGAAGAAUUUGACCCUCAAACAUCAUUAUCGUGCUACGUAUAUAAUGUUUUUAUGACAUUUUUAGAGAUAAAGGAACUUGGAAACUUAAAAGGUGUAAGUGGGUUUUUUGUAGACCCAUAGACAUAAUUAAUUUUAUGUCAUGAGAAGGCAUGUAUCAUCACAUGCUAAAUGUGCUAAAUUGAUUGGUUGACUGCUGUCAUAAUUGAUACAUGACAUAGUAAAUGUGCCCAAAUUAUAGGAUGGAUUACCAUGAGUGGUAAUUCUGUCUUAGGUUCUGUUUUGUCAGUUUUGGUUUGCUUGGGGUGCUAAGUUAUUCUAGUCCAUGUACUUUCUAGGGUUGCAUCGGGUCAGGUCAAAGCACGGAAGAUGCAAACCUGACUCCAAAUGGAAAUGAGGCGUAGAUUUAGACCCAACCCAACCCAACCUGUUGUUUCAUAUGGGUCAAGGUCUUGGUUGGAUCUUGAAGACUCUAAUUUCAUUUUCAGCCCAUACAGCCUUGUAUCUUAAUAAAAAGAUGAAGAAAUAUAGAAAAUAGUAGAGGAUUGACCACUUUGAGGGGGUUGACACAUCAUAGUCACCAAUAUGAGAGGGGUCAACCUCCUCGAAAAAUUUUCCUUUCAUUAUCCACUGAAGCAAGUUAAGGACCCUUGUUUAAAGAACGCACUGACCUAACAGACAAACAGGGUAGGGAUGUAAAAUAGAGAGCUAACACCCUAAAUAAUAUAUCAUUGUCACAUAAUUACCUACCCAAAUCUCAUAAUUAUCUAAAAUAGAUUUAAAAGGAAAAAGAAUUGCACACCACUGUUUCAGUUCAUUAUCCUGGUUUCAUGAAAUAUCCUUAAUUUUCUCCGUAGGUGAAUUCUGGUUAUUUUUGCAAAUUUUAAUAUUUUUUAAUUUUUAUUGGUUGUACUCAUGGUGUUUAUUUUGUCAUUUAGAAUUUAUUGCCUGGGAAAUGAAUCAAAUGAUAUGAAGUUUUGGUUGAUUCAUUAUCCAUUGAAGAUUUGGACUUGUAAUUGCAUUUACAUAAAUGAAUUGAGGGCCUUUCCUUCUUAGAGUACCCCUUGAAUGCCAUAUUUUGAUUUACAUGUUUCAGUCAAUGCAGAAGAUUGACUUUAUUUUCUGCUAAUAUUCCUAGUUUAAUUACAAAAGUAAAUGAGAUCUUGAGCUUAACUUUCUUUUAUCUCUGGUUUUUAGCUUUUCUUUUUGAUGUUAUAAUUUCUUCGAAGGCUGCUAGUUAUCAAAAUUAAAACUUUGAAGGUAUUCUAUUGUUCUUUUUAUUAACUGUUUUCCUUAAAUUAUAUCUGUUGAAGAUGAACCUGGUAAACAGGUUAGAAGUGCAGUCAGGAUAAAGAAUACGAGCAAAUCUCAUGUAGCAUUUAAGGUGUGUAUGGAAGUGCCGUAGUAUUUGAACUUUCAUAGAAUCAAUCAUAGUCAACGCAUGUCUUAUCUUUUGGUAAUUAUUUGUUCUACUUUGGAAAUUCUUUAUCCACAUUUUUUUAUCAUUUCUUUCUCGUACCCGCUAGCUAAUAUUUCCACUGAGAACUUUGGUUUUGAUAUUUUUUUCAUUACAUAUUUUUUGUUGGCCAAAUAUUGACCAAUGGAAUGCUUGUUAGUUUCAAACAACUGCACCAAAGAGCUGUUUCAUGCGUCCUCCUGGUGGUAUACUUUCUCCUGGGGAGAGUAUCAUAGCAACUGGUAAUCUUGUUUAUGUGUUUGCUUUUUUUCCUUGAUUUUUCCUCCAGAAAAAAGAAAAUUCGAAAUUAAUUCUUAUAGAAUUUCUGCAAUAGUGUUCUUAUUCUUAUUUCCAUAUUAAAUGCUAGUCUUCAAGUUUGUGGAGCAUCCAGAGAACAAUGAAAAGCUGAUGGAUCAAAAGAGCAAGGUUAAGUUUAAGAUUGUGAGUUUGAAGGUGAAAGGACCUAUGGAAUAUGUACCAGAACUGGUGAGUCUGUUUCUUUUGAUUACUUCCAAUUUGACAAGGUCGGUCUAAGUUUCUUUCUUCAGAGCUUUUUUUAGCUUUGAUUUCGAAAAGUUCUGGCAAAAAAGAAACACGUUGACCAAGACCAGCCCACUGAUCAAUUGUUCAAUUUGACUGGUUUCAGCCAAAUAUGGAUUGACCAUGCCAUUUCCAAUUCAACAUUGUUCAAAUAUUGGGUGAAAUUCUAACUUUUUUUUUGCAGGACCAACUCCUUCAGAAGAACUUGACAUGUUCCUCUAGGAACAAAGACAUAUCAGAAAGAAAUAUAUAACCUAUUUUAGCUUUGCCAUUCAAUUUGUUUUCUCAAAUUUUUGAAGUUUUGAUAUUAUAAGCUAACCCACCUUGGAAUGUGUACAUAUCUUCUUCCAGUGGGUGGAAGAAAUCAUGGAGGAAAAUAGUUUAGGUUCACUCACUUCAUAAUGUUGAGAAUCACUAGAAAAAUUGGCUCAUAAACCUUGUGAAGAUGAGAAUAUCCUUAAUCUGUAAAGACAAUUCUAAAUGUGCUUGACUGAGGCUUUUGUUAUUUGUCAUUAACAGCUAUAAAAUAUUCUAGUACACUUAGGGCUUGUUUAGUUCGUAGGAAGCAUUUUUUCUUCUAAAAAUAUGAUUCCUGGAAAGCAAAUUCCUGAGAAGAGAAUGCCUGAGAAAGUACUUUUGGCAUGUUUGGUUGACAAUGGAAAAGUCACGGAUUUUCAGAGUGCUUACAUUUGGUUGACCAUCCACUUUCCUAAAAAGUUAUGUAUAAUUUCUAUUAUAUCCUUAAUAAAAAUUAGGUCUUUAAUGCCUCUUUAAUGCUGAAGGGCUUUUUUGGAAAAAGAUAAAAAUGGAGUGAUUUCCGGCUCACGGGAAAGUAACUUUUUCAUGUUUCUCAUGGAAAAGAUUUUCCCAUAAAAUGUGGAAAUCAUAUUCUCAUGGGAAUACAACUUUUCCAUCUCUCUUCUUUGAAAACUCCAACCAAAUAAGAUGCAUCUCAUUACUUUUUCAUUGACCACACUUUCUCCUCUUCUUUUCCUGCGAACCAAACGAGCCCUUAAAGGCAUAUGGACCUUGUUUUAAUUUAAUGCAUGGUGUUAACAGUGGCCAUCUGCAAUUGCCUAGCUAACAAAUGAUGACGAAAUAGACCUGGUUAGCUAUGGAAAUCCUGAACUGCGAGAACAACCCUGAACUUGUUGCAUUGAGAUUAUUUAUGAUGGGGACUGACAUAUAUUACUGUGAAGCCACAUUAUUUAAAUAUUGUCAAUGCAUAUUUUUUUGCAUCACUAUCCAUUUGAAAGGAAGUGUCUGCAACAGUUUGAUGAGCAGAAAGAUCAAGUUGCAGUGGAGCAAAUUCUGCGGGUUGUAUUCUUGGAUGUGGCACGUCCCAGUCCUGUAAGCCAAUCUGCAGGCAUCCUUUUUUCCAGCUCUUUUCAUGCCUAAGAUAGUGAAUUACUUGCUUAAUUAUUUAACAUAUCAAGCAAUGAUGUACAUUGUGAUUGUUGCUGAAGCAAAUGGAAAAACUGAAGCGUCAGCUUGCUGAGGCUGAGGCAGCACUUGAGGCCCGCAAGAAACCUCCAGAAGAUGCGGGUCCUCGGAUUGUUGGUGAAGGGCUUGUCAUAGAUGAAUGGGUAAAUUAAUCUUCCACAUUCAUGCACGAGUGAGCUAUCCUCUUCAUCUGCUCUGAAGCUUUUCUGCUAAUUUUUUGCUCCACUUCCCUUUUUAUUCCUUUUCUCAGAAAGAACGAAGGGAAAAGUACCUUGCUCGGCAGCAGGUUCAAGGGGUUGAUUCAGUGUAAAGUGCGGCUUGCUAUUAUUGUAACUUUGUAAUCCUUUAUUUUGGUUGAAUCAAAUAAUUUAGUCAUGCAUUGUGGAAAAAGAAUCUGCCAUCAUCCUUCACCCCUUCAUUUUCAGGCUUGUCAGGGUGACUGUUUAAAGGUUCAUUGGUGACAAUAACAGGCUUACAUGUCACGAACCUUUUGAGACAUGUUGUGCUUGACUUAGGCUUAUGUCCUAUUUGUAGAUAUGGCUUUUUACUCUCUAAGAAAUAAAAGCAUUUUCUGUGGGAGGAACCAGCACCAUGCACCCUCUUCUCUUUGUUAUUUGAGUUUAUGUAUUAUGUUCCUCGCUCAACUUGUUUUAGUUGAUAGGAAUAUCUCUGUUGGAGGCCUUGUAAUGAUUAUGGACACAUGUAAAUGUAAUAGUGUUUCCCAUCAGCUGUGUGCCAUUAUCUUGACAGAUAUUGUUCUAGGGGCACAAGAAUGAGUUUUUAACAUUUUUUAAUGAUUCAUGUUUGUAAGUUGUCAUAGACACUUGAUUCAUGUGUUUCUAAUGUCCGCAUAUAUUUGCUGUCUUAGACAAUGUGAUCAGAGUUCUUUAAUUACCUUGACUUUAAUUUUUUAAAAUGGUUUACCAAAUUGGUGAUUUCUAAUCACCAAAUUUCAAGUGGUUCACUGUUAGUUUACUGUCUUCUUAGUGUUCUAAUAUUCUUUGUUGUUUUCUUUUCACCUUUUCUUAAUUAAGUUCUAGGAUAUUCCUUGAUGUUUCAUCAGCUUCUGUUCACAACUGAUUAAUUAUAUUGGACCAUCUUAUUGGUAUGUAAAAUUUCUAACAUCUUUAUUUUAAAUAGUUACUUGGUCACAACUGCAAAUAUAGGCUUCGAAAGUGAUUCAUAGAGCACAAUCUGUACAUUUGUAGCUAGACACAUGGAAUUAUCUAGAUUUGGACAUUAUGGUUCUAUCUAUAAUUGACCUACCAGUUAAGAUCUGUUUGUUGUUAUUCUUUCUCCAGUACAAGAAAGGCUACUCCGGUUACUAUUUAGUGCUAUUGAUUCUUGAGGUAUUCAAUUUCUGCUCAAUUCUUAAUUGCCUGCAGUAUCGCAUGAUGCUUGAUUUCUUUAUAUUGGUCGGCUCAUUAUGUGGCUCAAUCUGUUUGUUCUUGUUAUUAUGAUGCUAUUUCUCUAACAUAUCUGUAUGUUGCUUGCUUACCUACUUAUUCAUCUCUUAAAGUUCUUUUGCAAUCUCAGUCAUGCUUACAGUUUGUCAUCUUGUCCUGCCAGGUAAGAUAUACUACUGUGAAACCUAACAAGAUUGGGAUCUAAUCUUAGAUUAGGAAGCAAAAUUUAGAUAUGAAAACCAUUUGUUUUGUUUUCUCUUCUGCCCUGGUUAUUAAAAAUAGAUUGUUCGUUGUCAAUAUACCUAAAAAGAUAGUUUUAUCAGGAGAACAAAAAAAUAAAGCCUCUAAUAUAGCAAAUAGCCAAACAGCCGGUAUUAGUUAGGAGUAUAUUUAGUUGGAGCAAGGAACUAGUUGUUUUGGCUAUGAUUUCUUUCAUACUUGUUCUUGAAUUAGCCCUGGUUGAAUUAGCUGGAGUUUGAGCCUGAGAAGGUGCAUUUGUUAGCCAAAAUCCUGCAUGGUAAAGUUGCUCAUUGGCUGUAAGGAAGUAAACACAAGCAAUAAAUGCUUUCCCGGGAGGAAAUCUCAGGAGAUUAGUGGAUCUUAAUUACAGGGACCUUAGGGAAGGUUGAUAAGAAAUAGCUUGUCUGUGAUCUUUUUUUGAGUGCUCUGGUGAUUUGCCUUCCAUGGGAAACUUUUGAGGAGAGCCAUCUAAUUCCAAACCAUGGUACUACUUGAAUAUGCCAACAGAGCAAGCUUUAUUAGCAGACAAACAAGAUGCAUGCAUCCAUUGUUUCUGCCAUCUGACGGAUGCUGUGAAGACUAGUUACAUGGUUGGAAAGCAACUGAAACCUUCAGCAUAAUUGUCAGAGAAAAGGUACAUGAGUAAUCCCAUGUAUGAGUUGAGCCAUGCUAUUUGAAGACUAUGACAUGAAAGAAUAACAAAAAAUUAAAGAGAUGGAGGGUUAUUUUAGGAUCUUUCUGGCAUGCAUCAUUAUUUUUCUUUUACUUAUAAGGGUUUAGUCUUUUUUCCAUAAUAAACUGUAGCUUUAUGCAACACAUGAAGAUUAGAAUAAUAGAAUCUCUUGAUUAUAGCUAAUGUUAGGGAAUGUCUGCUUUUCUGCAUGAACGGUUCUUAUGUUAUAUAACUCAUAGGUAUUGAUAAGAUACAUUAAUUACGGAUAAUUGAAUAUAGUUGCAAGGCCAAUAUAGGUAGGUUUAGGAAACUUUUUGUAUGCACUAAUAGCUGCUCUAAAGCAUUUUCCAUCAAUUAUUAGGUUUAUGCUUUGAUAGCUUGGAUCUCAAAAUCACAACCUUAUCUUACUACUUGCUUCAAAAAUUUUAGAUUUUAAAAGCUGAUUUUUUUUUUGUAAAUAUUGAUUGUUAAAAUACUUUAAAAAAACAAAAAUCUCAACUGUCUUGUCAGUUCUUAAAGUAAAAUCUAAAUUUCAUAUAGAGAAAUUUUCCAGAUGUUAUGCUACCACUAAAAAGAAGUUAAUCAAAAUUUCACUUUAUGAUUUAAGAAAAUACAAAAAUCUCAACUGUCUUGUCAGUUCUUGGAACCAAAGAGUAAUGUCCUGUUAAUGGUAUCUAACUGUGUGAAAGGCUACUUGGGUUACCAUUUAGUGCUAUCGAUUUUUGAGGUAUUCAAUUUCUACUCAAUUCUUAAUUGUCUGCAGUAUCACAUGAGGCUCGAGGCAAACCUUGUUUAUAUUUGGUAGGCUCAUUAUCCGUUUACCUUUGGUGCAUUCACUCAAAUCUAUUUGUUCUUGUUAUAAUGUUUCUAUUUCUCCCACAUACCUAACUUUUGCUUGCUUACCUACUUAUGCUCCUCUUAAAGUUCUUAUGCUUAUUGGAGACCUUAAACUCUAUGCAUCAAGUGGUAGGAUAAGAUUAACUUGGAAUAAUAAUAGUCUUGGAAUAUCAAUUUUAAUAGUUCUAAAGAAGUAAAAUUAUGAUAUUUCGUUGGAAAAAUUAGGGGAAAAGUGUAUAGGGGUAGUCAAUUGAACUACUACCUUAUAAGGGCAGUCACUGUCAUGAUGUUUGUUACCAAAAAAAUGUUUAAAAUUGUAGUCCUCUUGUCAAAUCAAAAAUUAUUAUUUUUAAAAAAAUGACUAUAUUUAUAAUAAAAAAAUUAUAUUAUAUAUAUAGAAGUGGAUUUGGCUAUACUUGGCUAGAUUUUUACUCAUCCAAUUAAAUUCAGAUCUAAGGUCAACUAGUGUUGAACCAGUAACACAACCAUAUCUACACCAGAGCUGGAGUGGAUGUUGCUGCAUCCCCUGGCGCUUAACUUUCGGAAAGUUCAAUUGGAGUCAUAUAAAGUUAUAUUUUUCACUGGAAAGUUCUCUAUGUUAUUUAGAAUCAAAGUGGAAGUAAUCAUAUCAUCAUGGAAGACGAACAAAUGGAGUCAGAUUCUAGUUUGAAACGUUAGAAACCCUUGAUUUUUUACUCAAUGACGGUUGCUUUUCAUGCUCCAAAAGAUAGUGGAUGAUUUAUCUCUUUAGAUCAGACCAAGUGCGCACGAUAUUAAAUAAAAAAGUUUUUUUGCAUGGAUACACCCCUACAUAUCGGAUUUUGUAUGAAAUAUCCUCUCAAAAUUGAUAUUUGCAUUGAAUGACUCCGAAAGGUUAUUUGUUAUAAAGUAGCACUUAGCUGUGAUACCAAACUGAGAUCUACUCCAUAAACUAAUAUUUUCAACAUUAAGAUACUUGAAUACCUCCAAGCUAGCCUUCUUAAUUUGAUUGAUGAUAUCGUCAUAUUGGACUUUUUUGUAUGCCCUUGCAGCUCCCCAUAUCUUAAUUUUAAGCCAGUGUCCUGGAAAUUUUGUUUGAAAGUUUUUGUACAAGUGUCUCAUGCAUUUUCUAUGUUCUGCUUGGGGGUAUUUAUGUUUUACUGUUUCUUCCGGUCCCUUUUGUUGAUUUAAUACAAGUAUUAGACCUUUUGGCGUUUGAAUUGACUCUUUAAGUGCCUCCAAAAAUCAAGUUCAGCUAUCACUAUUUUCAGAUUCUGCAACACCAAAAGCAACUGGAAACAAACUAUUAUUUCCAUCAAAUGAUGUAGCAGCCAUCAUCACACCCUUGAAUUUUCCCUUUAAGUGGCAACCAUCUAAGCCUAUAAAAGGCCUACAACUAGCUAAAAAGCUCAUACUGUAAGCUCGUAGACAAAUAAAGAAGCGAUGGAAGUAAUGCUUAUCACCAACCACAUCUAAUUUUAGCUUUACUACACUACCCGGGUUUUUUUCUCAAAAGCUCCUCCUUGAAAUCCUCCAUUCUCUCAAAAGAAUCUGCCCAAUUACCAUGAAUCAUGGACAUGGCAAGCUCCUUUCCUUACCAAACUCUGUGGUAUGGAAGCUUAAGAUGAUGGAAUUGCAACAAUCUUCUUCUUAGCUCAAUAGGCGACAGGUGACCCACUUUUCAUAGCCAACCAAUAAUCCUAUCAUAUAUCCAAAAUUGUGUAGCCAUCUUGCUGCCACAUUUGUUUAUAGAUGAGCAUGUAUGAGGUUCCUUCAAUUUUUUAACCUACACAUACAAACAGAACAAUAUAUUAAUAUGUGCAAUAUUUUUCAAGCAUUAUAAUGAAAAACUAACAUAUUUCAACCGUAAUAUCUGAAAUGUACGACAAUCACAUAAUAGUGAAGCAUGAAAUCUCCAAUUAUAAGCUUUAUUUUUGCAAUUCACUGCCAUUCUACCGGGCUCACUUUUGAGAAUUCUUACGGCAAAUUCAUUCAAUAUAGCAUACUGACUCAAUGCCACCUUGAACUGUUCUCAACUUGUAUAUUUUGCCCCUAAGGCUAUGUUAGAAUUCUCAAUGUCCAUCUCAUAUGUCUCUCCCUUGUAGUUUAUGAUAUUUUCAUCAUCAUCAUCAUCAAAAUUACUAUUAUAAAUACUGUGAUAGCUACUCCCAGAACCAUAAAUUUCAGUAUCUGUUUUCUGCUCCUCUUGAAAUAAAGUUUUAUCAUUUAUCCCAACAUAGUCAUUAUAUUCAAUAGCAGUAGCUAAGAUAUCAAUGCCUAUUGUAGCUAGAUGUUCACUUUCGUUUUGCCUUUGCUUCUCUCUUACUUUAUCCACUUGAAUUUCUUUCACUCUUUUAAAUCCUUGUACUCCUCAAACAAACUUAUCAAUUUCAGCAAAGAAAAAACAAACUCAUCAAUUUUUGAUUUGUGUCUAAUAUCAUGUAAGACUUAGGCGUUUAAAUAUCUAAUUACAAACUAAAUCUUUAUGGUCUUUUCAAGCUUCAAAUUGAAUGUAUGCAGUAUAUCAUUAUAUAGGUCCUUGUAGUAAUAACAGUCAACAUUAACUAACCAGCUUUUUUGUAUUCCAAAGUAGUACUUCAUUCUUGUAGAAUUCUUAAUCUUCUUAAAAUAUCCUCCAAAUUUCACCUUCAAUUUGAAUAGUUGUUGCUCCAUUUAAGAACCUGUACAUUGAAUGAAUAAAUAUGCACUAUAUAAAUUGUAAGAGAGAGUGCUUAUCAACCAAAACUAUGCUAACAAAAUAAAAGAAAAAAAAGGAAUAGUACAUAAACAUCAUAGCCAUACUAUGUUUCAACAAUCAAAAAUGGGUGAUACUUCACCUUUCUUACCAUCUAAUAAAAUAUAUAGGUAUGUGGUUUAGAAGUCAAAAAAUAGAACUUCAAUAUAAGUUCACAGUGAGAAAUAGGAAUAAAAUAAAAUCAGCUACAACAAUCAUUAUUAUUCUUUUAACACUUACAAUGAUUUUUUUUUGUUCAAAUUAAUAGGAAAAAAAGUAUACAUCGAGAAAGAAGAGAGGGCAAGAUAAUAUUGAAUUAUGAUGAACAGAGAGGAGAGAUUCUUUGGGUCCACGACUAGUGCUUUUGGAGAGGGGAGAUUUGGAAGUUGGGAGGACUAUGGAUUACGAAAACAGGGAGGAAGGAGAUCGCAAUCGCGAGCCGCGAGUUGGAUCGCGAUCGCUGUGAAGAAGGAGAUCGCGAUCGCGAGCCACGAGUUGGAUUGCGAUCGCUGUGAAGAAGGAGAUCGCGAUCGCGAUCCCGCUCCCGGCUUGUGAAAUUUUGAAAUUACGUUUUUGUCCCGUCUUCUUCCCUGCCCUUGGGAUCGCGAAGGAGAUCGCCCAUGGGAUCGCGAACACCCGCAGGGUCACGAUCGUGAUCCCGAUAGCAGGGGAAGAAGACGGGACAAAAACGUAAUUUCAAAAUUUUAUUUUAUUUUAAAUUAAUAUAAAUAUGAUUUUUUUAACAGUGUUAAACAAUCGUUAUAUUAAGGCAUUUGUAUAAUAACAGUGUUUUAUAAGGGUAUAGAUACAAAUAUAAAUUUUAAAAAGUUAUUCACGCAAAUUUAAAUAUUCAGAAGGGUAUCCAUGCAAAAAAAUCCUAAAUAAAAUAAUGUAGAGAUAACAUCUUACUGCUAUACCUAUGGGAAACAUUUAUACUUGGUAUCUCAAGCCUUUCCAAUAGGGCAGUUCCUGGGUUAAAUCUAUUUUCAAAAGUUCGUCUCAGAAAAAAAAAUCCUCUCGGAAAAAUCUAUCUUCAAAAUUAGCAACUUUUUUAUUAUUAUUAUCUUUCUAGUGAUCUAGGAAUAGGAGGAAAGCCGGUGGAUAAAAUCUUCAUGCUCAUUUUAACCAAUCUUUUUAUAGCAAGGAAUUGUUUUUGUUUUCUUAAAUUCUAGAAUCACAUCUGUUAUCCGCAUCAUAUAAUAUCAUAUCAGCUGCAGUAUUGAUCAAAUUAGAGACCUUACGUUGGUGAUACAUCCUAGGGGAGUUCUUAUUCUCCAUGCAUUAAGGAUAGCAGCAAAUGAUUUGCCUACAGUGUGGAUCGUAUCCUCCUCUCUAAAUAGACAUAGACUUUGUGAAUAGGCUUAUGUCCAUCGAUAGCUCUUAGAGACUGUUAAGUACUCAACAUCCAAAGAUCUAGUUAGGAAGCCUUUUAACCUAUUAGGACUCGUUUAGUUCGUGGGAAGAGGUGGGAGGAAAGUAUGGUCAAAAAAAAAAAAGAAAUACCUCAUAUUUAGCUGGAGUUUUUAAAUAAGAGAGAUAGAAAAAUAGUAUUAUCAAGGAAAAUAAGGUUUCAUAUUUCAUGAGAAAGAGAAAUUCAUAUGAGAUAUAAAAAUAUUCAAUGCUCGCCGUCAGCAAAUUGGGAUAAUUCUUUUUUCAAAUAUAUCCUUAACCUUUUAGAUAGAAUGGAUUAAGAUUUUUAUUAACGGCAUAACAGGUACUUUAUACAACUUUUCCAGAAAAAUUAGAUGCUCAACUAAACAUAAGUCACAUAGUAAUGUGUCACUUUUUCAUGGUCAACAAAAAAUACAAAAAUCAUUUUUUCAAGCAUUAUAUAGUCAAACAUCAGCUUUUCAAUAAAAAUGUUUCAGUGAAAAAAAAAUCUUUCCAUGAAACAAAUGAGUCCUUAAUUAGUUUAAGCAAUGCAUGGACAUAUGAACAUGAUUACAACUGCAAAUCAUGGUAAAAAAAUCUUUAAAAAGUAGCACAUAAGUUUACUCCCAAAUGGUAUUCUUCUCAGUAUUGACAUGAUAAAUUUGAUUUUUAUCACUUUAUGUUCACUCUCAUCUCCCAACAUUUUAUAAUUUUAAAAACCAAUGCCUCCCAGUAUCAACUGCGCAGCAACACCAAACACCAUUUCCAAAACGGACAUAUGCACCAAUCUCAGGCUUUUCCGCAUCGCUUUCAGGAAAACAAGGUGUCUGAUCCACCUUGGAUCUUCUACUUGUCCAAGUUUCUGCCCCUUUUUCUUUCCUGAACCAUUCCAUAUGGUCAUGAAAUAUUUUAACUUAUUUAUUAAUUCAUCGGUUUAAUAAUAUAUUUUUUACUUGGGCCAAUACAUGAUAUUCUUGCUGCAAAGCUCCAAGUUGAGUAUGAGCUUAAAAGAACUUAAACUGAUCUAAUACUUUCCUUUGUUAUUGAACUUUUGACUCCUAUAAAAAGAUUCCACAUGAACGAGCAGGGCGAGACAAAAAUAUAAAAAGAUUUUUAGAUUCAAACCCCACAUCUCUCGCCAGUACAUGCGCUCUGGAGAUGACAAUCUAAUUUAAGAAACAAUCUCUUAAAAAAGUUUGUUCAGAGCAGAAACAAUCUCAGAAGUUUGUAAACAAAAAUCCAUUAUUUAUCUUCUGCUUCACCGUUUACCUUUUGUUAUAAUUAUUAAAACCUUUCUUGUUUCUUUUCCUUUUUAGCUUCCCAAAUCUUUUAUAGUGGACCUAAGCAAGUAGGUGCUUUUCAUCUUAAGCAUGUUUUUGGUCAUAAUACUUGCUCCCAACAAGAGUUUGUGCUACUAAUUCACUCAAUACAUUGACAUGCUUUACUGUUUUAUUGGCAUAACAGCAGGGACACGAAUUCUCUCAGGAUGAGAGUUAAAAAGAAAUCAUGAGAGAGAAGAAAAAGUUUCGACGAAAGAAGAGGAAGCUGAAUUUCUGGUAAUUGGUGUUGGUAGUUGAGAGUAGGUGCUGGAUUUGCCACUUGCACCAUGCACUUGUGAAACCAAUAACGUCUGGUAAUCCACUUGCAUAUAUUCUUUAUGUUUCUUUGUUUUCUGUGGAAAUAAAACAAUGAGGAAUUAUUAGUGUCUGGCUGCCUGGUGAUUGAAAGCAGCUAAUCCUACUUUCUGGUUGGCCCAAAACAUCACUUUAGAUGCAAAUUUUCAGGGAAUUCCAAACCUCAUGAAUCAUGAAAAUCAAAUUUAAUGUGUGUUACGUGCUUCAACUUGGAGCUCCAAAUGCUAAACGCAGCAACUCACUCUUUUCUCUCCAACAACAGAUGUUAGAGAGGCAAAGCACACCAUCAUAGAUUUUAGCAGACAAAUAAAAUGCACAGAAGACUGAACAGCUGAACUCUACAUUUUAUUCAUCUGAAAAGCUCUUUAAAUACACACAAAAGCAUAACAAACUUCACUAUUCAAGGACCUCUAAUAGCACUAAAUCAUGACCACCAUACCUCCUAAAACUAAGCCACAAAACCAUAAACCAAGGACACUUAGUUACAGGCAGUCGAAUCACUCAAAGACAUUCAACCAACUCUAAUAAGAUGGGACACAUAAGCCACUAUGAGAUGAAUUUAACCCAUAAUUAAGUUUUGCAUUAAUCUUUAACAAUAUAUAUGUAUCUAUAUAUAUGUGUGUGUGUGUGUGUGUGUGUGUGAACAUCUAAUAGAGAUUUUAGGAAACCACAUUCUAAGGGCAUCCCUUACUUUCUAGAGCAUAGCUAAUUAAUGACCUAUAGUUGUAAAAUCAUAACCAGCUGGUUCUCUUGCAACACAUAAAUAAUAUCGAAAUUCUUAUUAAUUUCUUGGUAUUGUACAAAGGUUAAAAUCAUGAUAUACUAUACUAGCCCGAACUAAAUGGUAUGGAGCAUAUCGUAUCAUAUCGGUAUCCAAUAUAAGUGGCGUAUCGACAUUCGGUACAUCAAAAAAAUUUCAUACCGUAUCGAUACUGUGCCAGUGUGGCUACAGACCGUAUGGCAAACUUUGCCCGAAAUAUAUAUUUUGACCAUCAUCCGCGCUCACAAAACCUAUGGGCGGGCAACCAAACUGCCUUCAGCGCCUGGUUUUCUAGCCUCCUUUCUCCAUCUCUCCUUGGAGGAGUUUUCAGGUGUCUCAAUCACACAUCAUGAUGUGCAGGUGAGAAUGGCCCAAAGGUUCCAAAAGAGGGGGACCAAGAGAGAUGAGACAAAUAUAGAGCAAGACGAAACAAUGCAUGCAGACCCAUUUGCAAUCUAGGUUUCAGUACUUCUACUCCAUAAAAGAGAACAGAGAGAGAUAAAAUAAGGGCGGCCACCCAUAGAACAAACAAGACAGAAAGCGACUGAUCCCAUCCUUCCUUCACUGGAUAAAUGAACCAAUGGGUCUAUUAAUUGCUACUGGUUUUCCCUUGGAGAAACCACUGGCACUCGGGGCCGUAGGACCACACCCUCUCUUUCAACCUCCUUUGCCCACUUGAAGCCCUAUUUAGCAUAUAUAUACUAAACCGUAACCUGGUAAAGUCCCUUAUCAGCCAACGUUCUGCUAACCUUCAUAUCCAACAUUGUCUUUGCUCUUCCUAAAUCUUUCUGGAAAGAUGAGGCUUGCUAAUAAGGCAUGCAUAGCUGUGGCUCUGGGGGCUGCUCUUGAACUCAAAGAUCAAGUGGUCAUGCCAAGCUCCUCAGCCUUCGAGAGGGGUUGGUCGUCGACAGCACAAGUAAGACUCCUCCCAAACACUGACGGCAGCCCAGACAAGAAAUGGGUGCCUAAAAAAAUGAAGGCUAUGGCUGCCGAGGAGUCAUUUAGGAUGGUUUUCUAUUUGAGUUGCUGGGGACCUAACUGAGGUUCUCAUGUAUUCUAGGCUCAUCUGAAACCAUCUCCACAUCCUCCAUGUUAUGAACUUAUGAUUCUUUUGGCACUGAAAUGAGCAUAGGAUGCCUUGGGAGUGCCAAAGUGGUGGUGGCAAAGAAGCUUGUGAUGCUUUGCAAUAUGUGAGCUCUAAAUUACGAAAUUUCUUCUUGGGAUGGGGAGGAUGUGCGUAAGCGAACGAUCAGAGUUUCCUUUCGUAGACUUGAUUGUGCAUGUAAGAUAUAUACAGCUCUAGCUAUACUGUGAAUUAAGUGAAUGAAACGUACUGGAAUCGUAGUUUGGAAUUGAAUGAAUGGAGUGCACUUCAUAACUAGUUAACUUCGAGUAUAUUAUUUGUGGCAUGAUCUGCAUGUGUUCUUUAGAUUUUAUAAUCUAUUUAGUGAUAUUGGAAACUUCUUAAAUAGUGGCUAUGAGAGUGUCUUCCAUAAAUAUUGUCAUGGAUUAUCAAAGACAUGUAUACGAGUGAUAAAAAACGAUGUUAGCAAAGUGUUCUCAGCUAGGGUUUGCAUGAGGUCUGAGUGUAAGAUGCAUUAUUUUGCAGUUGACUAAUUUCAUGGCAAAGAAGGGAGUGCUGCAUGUGAUUUAGGAGGCAGAUGAUUGGAAUCAUUAGCCAUAUGUUGUUACAGAAGAAAUACUUUGCAUAACCAUGCUUUACAGCUGAAAGAUGAGACUAGAAUUAACUAAAAGCAGGUGAUUUUUGAUUUGGAGAGGGUGGAAGGUAUUUAGUGGGUGAUGAUGGUUAGGAGAGGCCUUUACAAGCUUCUUGCGGGAUCGCUCUAUAGUUUAGUAAGUGAAGCAAGAAAAAGGCCAGAGGCUUCAAGGGGUAGAGAGAGAGAAUGAAACAUGGGUGUGCUUUAUUCUGUUCUGUUUUAUGCGAUCCUAGAUUUUUUUUUUUUCCGAAUAAAUUAUUUUCUCACAAUUAAAAUUAUAUCUAUAUAUAUAUAUAUAUGAUAAUUUAAAAUAGUGUGAAUUACUUUUCUUUUUUUUUGCUUGUCCAAUAAAAAGAACCCAUCCCUGCAAAUACAUACUUCAAUUUAUCAAAGUAAAAUCUUCUAACUAACAUAUUUUGCUUUUGAGCUGGUAUACAACAAAUUUUGUAGACUUAGUUACAUGCUUAUUCACUUAUUCACAACUUAUAGAUAUAUGUAUGUGUUUCCAUAUCUUUGUAUAUAUCUAUUUAUGUAAACAUUUCUUUUUUGUGUAGUUCUUUCAAAGUGAAAGUCAAUAUUUUUAAUCAUGAUCUAUGAUAUUUAAAAUACCUAGAAGUCAAUGAUUACUUAUUUUAGAGGUCUAUAGCCUUUAUAAUGCAUGAAUCCAAAUUAUCUAUCUUUUUUUCAUGGUAAAAAAUUUCCUUAUUUUGAUUUAAAUAUUUAGAAAAUUGUACUUUUAUCCCUUGAUUUAACUCUCGUUCUAUUCAUACGUCAUUUAGUUUAAAAAAUUUUAAAUGGAUCCCUCAAGUUACUUGGUUGGCUCAAUAUCAUCCUUCCAUUCAUCUUUAUUAACAUGGUCUGCAAGAAUUGUAUCAUGCACCUAUCACAUGACAUUCUUAAAAUGUUUUAGGAUCGAAAUACCCAUGAUACAAUGGAACUUUAAACCAAAGGAUCAACAUGGGUUAGAAAAAGAACUCUCCUUUUUUAUAUAAAAUAUAUCCUAGCCUCCUUUAACCAUGUCCUCCGCCUUGUUCAUUUUUGCUGCUACUGCCUCCUCCGCUACCGCCACCAUCCACUUCUUUUAGUUACCUCCAUCCACCCCCACACCCAGCACCCUCCUCUCUUUCGAACACGCUAAAUUCCUAAUCAAGCAGUUUCGACCACUACUUUACCCUCUUCUGCUUCAUCCUCGACCCCAAUGUAUUCUUUUAGGCAUUAGUUCAAUACUAAACUAGUGACAUUAUGCCAUCUUGCAUCAUACAAGGAAUUUCUACAAGAUGAUCAUAUAUAACUGUCAUCUUAAUUAAAGAGGACAACAGCAUUAAGAUGGAGGAGUCUAAUGGCAACCUCAUGAGGAUCCACAAUAUCACUGAAUGACUAGCCAAAAUGAUAGAGAUGAUCGGCACGACAAUGAUACAUGAUCCACUAAUUACAUCUGGUAAGUGAGUUCUGAAGAAGAUUUGGAACAGUAUUUAAACCAGCCACAAAAGCUGUAAACCCCGGACCAGAUGGACCGGCAUGGACCAAAGUUGGCGGUCCAUCUGGUGAUUUCGGGAAUAAGGCGGUGGAGAACGGCAGUUGUUGAGGCAGUUAAAACUGCCUAACAGCCGCGGUNNNNNNNNNNNNNNNNNNNNAUCUGGUGAUUUCGGGAAUAAGGCGGUGGAGAACGGCAGCUGUUGAGGCAGUUAAAACUGCCUAACAGCCGCGGUCCCCCACCCCUCCGAGCUGGAUGAGGAGCUACAAAAGCCCAUGGAGUCACAGAGAACUCCAUCGACCACCUCUUACCUCCCUUACUCUCUGUCUUCUGUGCAAGGAGCCGGACUGAGAGCAGUGGCGCCGGAGGAGGGAGGAUCUCCAGCUUGUCAUCACCUUCUGCCGCCGGAGCAGGCACAGUAAUCGCCGGGAAUACUUCACGGCUCAUCGGAAUGAGGUAAACCCUAACCCUUCUCCCCAUUCAUGAUUUACAUGUUAAUAGCUUAGAUCCAAUCUAGCUAGAAGAGGAUUAACAGAGAAAGAUGGGUAGGGAGAUGAUGUAGAGGGGAAGAUCUUAUCAUGGGCGGCAUUCAUCCGGCACUGGGUCUAUUGACCGAAAACCAUUGACGGCCCAUGAUGAAGAACCUUUCCCUCCACUCAACGAUGACUUCCCCUUCCCAUUAAAACCCUUGAUCUAAAAAUCCAAAAUGAACCUACCUCUCGAUUCGUGGGGAUGGUCCUCGGCUUGUUCAAAUCCGGUUCCCAUGGAGGGAACCGGUUUGAUUGUGGCCAGAGGGAAACAGAGAAGAUGGACCGAAGGGCGAUUUCCGAUGGCCAUGGACGUCGUCGGCUCGGGCCACCGUAGACGCCAUCGGGCCGACCGCGGGUGUCGGCCGCGCGUUUCGCGAGCACCACCGGCUUCGGCCGGUCUUGUCGCUCCCCGACGGGUGGUCGUGACCCAUCUCCUUCACCGGAGGUGGAGGAGAAGAGCUGCCAGUCGGGCCGUGGCUGCCGCAGGUGGGAUCCCGGCCGCCGCCGGUGCCGCCGGUUGGCCGCAGCGCCGUCGGCUUCGGGCCGGCCUCAUCCUGAGCACCCUUCCGAGCUCGCUCCCCAGUUUCGUGGGAGAAAGGAAAAAAAAAAAAANNNNNNNNNNNNNNNNNNNNNNNNNNNNNNNNNNNNNNNNNNNNNNNNNNNNNNNNNNNNNNNNNNNNNNNNNNNNNNNNNNNNNNNNNNNNNNNNNNNNNNNNNNNNNNNNNNNNNNNNNNNNNNNNNNNNNNNNNNNNNNNNNNNNNNNNNNNNNNNNNNNNNNNNNNNNNNNNNNNNNNNNNNNNNNNNNNNNNNNNNNNNNNNNNNNNNNNNNNNNNNNNNNNNNNNNNNNNNNNNNNNNNNNNNNNNNNNNNNNNNNNNNNNNNNNNNNNNNNNNNNNNNNNNNNNNNNNNNNNNNNNNNNNNNNNNNNNNNNNNNNNNNNNNNNNNNNNNNNNNNNNNNNNNNNNNNNNNNNNNNNNNNNNNNNNNNNNNNNNNNNNNNNNNNNNNNNNNNNNNNNNNNNNNNNNNNNNNNNNNNNNNNNNNNNNNNNNNNNNNNNNNNNNNNNNNNNNNNNNNNNNNNNNNNNNNNNNNNNNNNNNNNNNNNNNNNNNNNNNNNNNNNNNNNNNNNNNNNNNNNNNNNNNNNNNNNNNNNNNNNNNNNNNNNNNNNNNNNNNNNNNNNNNNNNNNNNNNNNNNNNNNNNNNNNNNNNNNNNNNNNNNNNNNNNNNNNNNNNNNNNNNNNNNNNNNNNNNNNNNNNNNNNNNNNNNNNNNNNNNNNNNNNNNNNNNNNNNNNNNNNNNNNNNNNNNNNNNNNNNNNNNNNNNNNNNNNNNNNNNNNNNNNNNNNNNNNNNNNNNNNNNNNNNNNNNNNNNNNNNNNNNNNNNNNNNNNNNNNNNNNNNNNNNNNNNNNNNNNNNNNNNNNNNNNNNNNNNNNNNNNNNNNNNNNNNNNNNNNNNNNNNNNNNNNNNNNNNNNNNNNNNNNNNNNNNNNNNNNNNNNNNNNNNNNNNNNNNNNNNNNNNNNNNNNNNNNNNNNNNNNNNNNNNNNNNNNNNNNNNNNNNNNNNNNNNNNNNNNNNNNNNNNNNNNNNNNNNNNNNNNNNNNNNNNNNNNNNNNNNNNNNNNNNNNNNNNNNNNNNNNNNNNNNNNNNNNNNNNNNNNNNNNNNNNNNNNNNNNNNNNNNNNNNNNNNNNNNNNNNNNNNNNNNNNNNNNNNNNCAUAUAUGGCAAAAGUAUUAUGAUGCAUAACCAUAUUUAUGAAAUUGCAUGAAUGGACUUGCAUAGUUUGAUUACUGGUUUGAUUAUAGAAAAUGCUUUCUGUAUUAAAUUUGUUUAUUCUUCAAAUAUUGCAUUAGCAUACAAAACACUAUGCUUGAUCCGAUAAGAUUAUUCUUGUUUACUUACUGGGCUUUAUAGCUCACACCAUUUUAAUUAUGUCUUUACAGAUGAAUAGGAGAUGCUAGGAAUAAGGAGCGUAACAUGCUCCAGGGUUAUGGAAAAGACAAAUGUUAAAUGUUGAUAUUGUUUUUAGAAGCUUUGUAUGGAUUUUAAUACCUGAACAUUUAAUGACUUUCAUGAAUAUAGUUCUUUAGUAAUUGAAGUUUUAAAGUGGCUGCGUGUUAUUGUACGCUUAAUUUGGCAAUAAUAUGGCCGUGUCAUGAACCGAAUUCGGGGCGUGACAUUUAGUGGUAUCAGAGUAAUAAGUUUAACCAUGAUUUAAAAAAACUUUAAAAUUAAUCAUGAGAAUGGGUAGCUAAGUUAGCUUUCAUAUAAUUGGAGUCACAGUAAGAACAAUAAUGAUGUAUAUAUAUAUAUAUUUAUUAUUAUUAUUAUUAUUAUUAUUAUUAUUAUUUAUAAAUAAUAAUAAUAAUAAAAGAAAAUUUAUAUAUAUAUAUAUAUUUAAAUACAUAUAAUAUGAUGAAAUGAAUGAUGAUUAAUACUAUAUUUUGAUAGGUGACGAUGAGUGAUAGUGAGAAUGAAGUAUUGGCAAACUAUAAAAGAAAAGGGGUGAAAGCAUUAUCCCAAGGAGGUACCAACAUGCCAGCCGGGCCAGCUCCAAACGCUGUAGCCACCCAAACGGAUCUUACUGGGGUAUGCCAAGUUAUGGCUCAGCUUCUUCAACAGCAACAGCAGAUGCAACAAUUGAUGCAACAGCAAGUGCAGGCCGUUGUCCGACCUGCACAGUUUAUGGACUCCUACUAUGAACGGUUCCGGAGGUUGAAUCCCCCUAUGUUUGAUGGUUGAGCCGAUCCGUUGGCUGCUGAGACAUGGAUUCGGGGAAUAGAAGAGAUGUAUGAUGCUCUGCAGUUUCCUGAAGAUGUCAAGGUUAGGUUGGCUAUUCCAAUGAUGAGAGGAAAUGCAAAGUUUUGGUGGACAACCAUGAAAGCUGCAAUUGGAAAUGAUGACAAUAUGCCAACUUAGAAUGAAUUCAAGAAAAUGUUCUAUGAACAAUAUUUUCCUAAGUCGCUAAGAAGGACUAAGGAAAAUGAAUUCUUAUCUUUGAGGUAGAAAGAUAAUAUGACCGUGCUUGAAUAUGCCAACAAGUUCAAUGAACUGGGUCGGUUCUGUCCCCAAUUUACGGAGGCUGAAGAGAGCAAGGCUAACAGGUUCGAGCAGGGCUUGAGGGAUAAGAUUCUAUCCCGAUUGUCAGUCCUGAUCUUCACCAGUUAUGGAGAUGUCCUGGAGAGAGCACUGAAAGUAGAAGCAGAUCUGAAGAGGUCAGAGAAAGAAAGAGGUGAUCUGAAGAGGUCCAGGACAACUGGGGAUCAGAGUGCAAGGCCAAGAAAUUUUGGAGAAAAUGCAAACAAAAAGAACAAAUUUGGGGCCUGCAAUUUCUGUGGCAAGCCACAUGGUGGACUUUGCCUUAAAAAGAUGGGAGCCUGCUUUAACUAUGGUCAGAUUGGGCAUAUUGCACGUGAUUGUCAGCAAAAGAAGAAUGACCCUAGGCCUAUUGGAUCAGGGGAUCAGAAGCAGAAGGGGACUGCUCGGGUCUUUGCAUUGACUCAGUAGGAUGUCAGUGCAAGCGACAGUGUGGUGACAGGUACUAUCCCCAUCAACACAGUUGAUACAUCUAUAUUAUUUGAUUCUGGCUCUACACAUUCUUUUGUAUCUAUCAAAUUCUCUAGCUCUUUACACUGCAUACCUGAGAAAUUAGUGGAGCCAUUAUAUGUUGCUACACCCCUACAAAAAAUAGUAAUUGCUGACAUUAUCUUCAAGAAGUGCAUAAUUCAGUUAGGAGAAAGGGAGUUAGUGGCAGACUUAAUAUAGCUAGACAUGCAAGAUUUUGACAUCAUCUUGGGAAUGGAUUGGCUGUCCAAGUACCAUGCUCAUAUAGACUGCUUCAGAAAGAGAGUAGUGUUCCGGAUACCAGGGGAGCUGGAAUUUUUCUUUCAAGGCGAUGCACCCAAGCAAUGUAAGUCUUCUUUACAUGUUAUUUCUGCUAUGUGUGCACGCAAAGCAUUAAGAAAAGGGUGUCAAGCCUAUCUAGCCUAUGUCAUAGAUACUCAAACUGAGACAAGACUAGAUGAUAUUCCUAUUGUGGGAGAAUACCCUGAUGUUUUCCCUGAUGACCUACCUAGACUGCCCCCUGAUCGGGAGAUUGAUUUUAAGAUUGAUCUUGUACCGGGGGUUGGACCAAUCUCCAAGCCCCCUUAUCGGAUGGCACCGGCAGAGUUAAGAGAAUUGAAAGCUCAGCUACAAGAACUUCUAGAGAAGAAGUUCAUUCGGCCUAGUGUUUCCCCAUGGGAAGCUCCGGUGUUAUUUGUAAAGAAGAAGGAUGGGAGCAUGAGGAUGUGUAUUGACUAUAGGGAGUUGAAUAAAGUAACAGUGAAGAACAAGUACCCAUUGCCUCGGAUUGAUGACCUAUUUGAUCAGUUGCAAGGGGCUCAAGUGUUUUCGAAGAUAGACUUGCGGUCCGAGUAUCAUCAACUGAAAAUUCAAAUAGAAGAUGUGCCCAAAACAGCAUUUCGGAAUAGGUAUGGCCAUUAUAAAUUUUUGGUUAUGCCUUUUGGAUUAACCAAUGCUCCUGCUGCCUUUAUGGACCUGAUGAACAGGGUCUUCAAGGAGUUUCUGGAUCAGUUUGUUAUUGUAUUUAUUGAUGACAUACUGGUUUAUUCCAAGAGCAAGGAAGAGCAUGAACAUCAUUUGAGGUUAGUGUUGCAAACUCUGCAAGAAAAGAAGUUAUAUGCCAAGUUGAGCAAAUGUGAAUUCUGGCUGGAUAGCAUUGCAUUUCUUGGGCAUGUGAUCUCUAGGAAUGGAAUUUCAGUAGACUCAAAGAAAAUUGAAGCGGUAAUGAACUGACCUCGUCCUACUAAUAUGACGGAGAUCAGAAGCUUCUUAGGUCUGGCUGGAUACUACAGGAGGUUUGUGGAGGGAUUUUCCCGGAUAGCCAUCCCUUUGACUCGUUUGACUCAGAAACGAGCAAAGUACGAUUGGAGUGGAGAGUGUGAGCAGAGUUUUCAGGAGUUGAAGCAGAGAUUAGUAUCUGCUCCUGUCCUCACCCUACCUAGUUCUGGAGGUUUCACCAUCUUUAGUGAUGCCUCCAAGAAAGGACUGGGUUGUGUUCUAAUGCAAAAUGAAAAAGUGGUGGCUUACGCCUCUAGACNNNNNNNNNNNNNNNNNNNNNNNNNNNNNNNNNNNNNNNNNNNNNNNNNNNNNNNNNNNNNNNNNNNNNNNNNNNNNNNNNNNNNNNNNNNNNNNNNNNNNNNNNNNNNNNNNNNNNNNNNNNNNNNNNNNNNNNNNNNNNNNNNNNNNNNNNNNNNNNNNNNNNNNNNNNNNNNNNNNNNNNNNNNNNNNNNNNNNNNNNNNNNNNNNNNNNNNNNNNNNNNNNNNNNNNNNNNNNNNNNNNNNNNUUAAUUGAGUCAGAUCUGAACCAAUAUGUAAUUGACCCAGACUUGAACCAGAAAUGGAAUCAAAUCCGAACCAGAAUGUAGAUUAGACCAGAACCAGAAAUUGAAUUGGGCCAUGGGCCUGACCCAGAAAUUGAACUAGGUUAUGGACCCAAAAAUGAAAUUGAGUCCUAGGGGUGGGCUGCAAAUGACUUUAAGAUUAUAAAUAAAUAGAAAUUAAAUGUGCAAGUGACAUGUAUGUGGAGUGAUUGAUUAUAACCCUAUUUGAUUUUGAUGAGCUCAAAGCAUUUGAGUAUAUCUUAUGUUAUACUAAUGAAUUCAAUCUAGUAUUUCAGUCAAAUAUUUGUGAAUUUAUGUUUAAGUGUCUCUAGCUUUGGUUCAAUACACUUUGGCUAAGUAUGGAAAUCAAUUUGAACCAAAGUCUGAAUCUCGAGUCGACUCCAAGCGUAUCAGAAGCACUGGCACAAGCUCGAGUCGACUCCUGAACAUUACGAGUCGACUCCGACUGAGAACAGACAGCCGGACAGAAAGAUAUAUCUCAGAACCUGUCAUCGAGUCGACUCCGGAAGAAUUUGAGUCGACCCCGAUGUUUGCCGAGUCGACUCCAGCAAAGUAUGAGUCGACUCCAUGGAGUAACAGAUAGAAAGACAGAGAAGCCAUUUUGGACUCUGAGAGCCGAGUCGACUUCCGAAGAACCCGAGUCGACUCCGACGGUUGGCAGGUCGACUCCUAAGGAAGCAAGAGUCGACUCUCAGAGAAAUGCAAGGCUAAAAGUCAGAGAGCCAACUUCGUGUCUGAGAGCCGAGUCGACUCCCGCAAAGUCCGAGUCGACUCCAAGGCAGUUCAACUCCAAAGACAGAAGACCGGUACUUCGGUGUCUGAGAGCCGAGUCGACUCCCACAAAGUCCGAGUCGACUCCGAGGCAGUUCAACUCCAAAGACAGAAGAUCGGUAUUUCGAUGUCUGAGAGCUGAGUCGACUCCCGCAAAGUCCGAGUCGACUCCGAGACAGUUCAAGUUCAAAGACAGAAGACCUGUCUUUCCGGCUCUGAGAACCGAGUCGACUCCAAGGAAAUUCGAGUCGACUCGAGGAAGUAAAAUCGAGAGGAUGAUUUUGGAAUCCUGAAGAUCGAGUUGUCUCGNNNNNNNNNNNNNNNNNNNNNNNNNNNNNNNNNNNNNNNNNNNNNNNNNNNNNNGAAGGGAGUUAUGAGAUUUGGAAGACAUAGUAAGCUAAGUCCCCGCUACAUUGGUCCCUUUGAAAUUCUGAACAAGGUAGGAGAGGUUGCUUACAGAUUAACUUUACCACCAGAGCUAUCGAGUGUACACAAUGUCUUCCAAGUUUCUCUACUACGAAAGUAUAUUGCAGACCCCAGUUAUGUAGUAGAGUAUGAGCUAGUACUGGUUGAAAAGGAUCUGACUUAUGAAGAGUUUCCUCUACGCAUCAUUGAUCACAAGGAGCAAGUUUUGAGACGGCGCACCAUUUCCUAUGUGAAGGUCCAGUGGAGUAACCAUUCUGAAAGGGAAGCAACUUGGGAACUCGAAGACGAGAUGCGUAUGAGGUAUCCACAGCUUUUUGUAGACUCAGGUACGUAAAAUUUCGAGGACGAAAUUUUUUUUAAGGAGGGAAGAAUGUAAACCCCGGACCAGAUGGACCGGCAUGGACCAAAGUCGGCGGUCCAUCUGGUGAUUUCGGGAAUAAGGUGGUGGAGAACGGCAGCUGUUGAGGCAGUUAAAACUGCCUAACAGCCGCGGUCCCCCACCCCUCCGAGCUGGAUGAGGAGCUACAAAAGCCCAUGGAGUCACAAAGAACUCCAUCGACCACCUCUUACGUCCCUACUCACCUUCUUUCUUCUGUGCAAGGAGCCGGACCGAGAGCAGUAGCGCUGGAGGAGGGAGAAUCUCCAGUGCAUCAUCGCACUGCGCUGCCGGAGCAAGCACAACAGCUCGCUGGAAUGCCUCACAGCUCCUCGGAGCUAGGUAAACCCUUAACUCAUUCCCCAUUCAUAAUCUACAUGCUAUUAGGUUAGAUCUAUUCUAGCUAGGAGAUGAUUAACAGAGGAGUAGGGGUGGGAAGAAGAUGAAGAGGAGGGAGGAUAAAGGUUUAUGCAAUGAUCGGCUGUGAUCCGAACAUUGGCCGAGGACCUUUCUCCUUCAUCCGAUGGUGGCUUCCCCUUUCCAUUAAAACCCUAGAUCUAAAAAUCCAAAGAUGAACCUACCUCUCGAUUCAUGGGGAGGGUUCUCGGCUCGUGCAAGUCAGGUUCCCAUGGGUGGAACCGGCUUGAUCUAGACCGAAGAGGAGAAGAGGAAGAGGAGCUCGGGAAGGGAAGAAGAAAGAAGGGAAGAGAAGGUUCGGGAAGGGAAGAGAAGAAAGAAAAAGGAGGUGGUCGGAGCAGACGAGUCGAAGGGGGAUCUUCCCGUUGUGGCCGUCGUGACACCGUCGGGCCGACCGCAGGUGUCGUCGUGCACCACCGGCUUCGGCCGGUUCUGCCGCUCCGCGACGGGUGGCCGUGCUCCAUCUCCUCCGCCGGAGGUGGAGGAGGAGAGCUCCCGGUUGGGCCGUGGCUGCUGCAGGUGGAACCACGGCCGCCGCCGGUGCCGCCGGUUGGCCGCAGCACCGCCGGCUUCGGGCCGGCCUCCUCCCGAGUGCCUUCCGGGCGCCUCCCGAGCUCGCCUCCUGGUUUCAUGGGAUUUCAUCUUAAGCAUGUUUUGGUCAUAAUACUUGCUCCCAACAAGAGUUUGUGCUACUAAUUCACUCAAUACAUUGACAUGCUUUACUGUUUUAUUGGCAUAACAGCAGGGACACGAAUUCUCUCAGGAUGAGAGUUAAAAAGGAAUCAUGAGAGAGAAGAAAAAGUUUCGACGAAAGAAGAGGAAGCUGAAUUUCUGGUAAUUGGUGUUGGUAGUUGAGAGUAGGUGCUGGAUUUGCCACUUGCACCAUGCACUUGUGAAACCAAUAACGUCUGGUAAUCCACUUGCAUAUAUUCUUUAUGUUUCUUUGUUUUCUCUCGAUUCAUGGGGAGGGUUCUCGGCUCGUGCAAGUCAGGUUCCCAUGGGUGGAACCGGCUUGAUCUAGACCGGAAGAGGAGAAGAGGAAGAGGAGCUCGGGAAGGGAAGAAGAAAGAAAGGAAGAGAAGGUUCGGGAAGGGAAGAGAAGAAAGAAAAAGGAAAAGAAGAAAGAAAAGAAAAAAAAGAAGGAAAAGUUCGGUGGGCCGAAUUGGGCCUGAUUUCGAGUUGGGCUGCAAAUAAAUUUGGCUCUGGGAACCCGAAACCGGGCUAGGCUCUGGCCUGAGCCCAAUAAUCUUAAACCCAAUAAUUGGUCAGAUCUGAACCAAAAUGCUAUUGGCUCAGACCUGAACCAGAAACUUGGGUCAGACUCGAAUCAAAAAUUGUUUAGACCAAAAUCAGACAUUGGGUCAGACCCAAAUUGAUGAUUUGAGUAGACCCAAAUCAGAAAUUGAACCAGGUUUGGGACCUAAGGGUGAAGUUGAGUCCUAUAGAUGAGUUGAAAAAUGGUUAAUUAAGAAAGAUUGUAGAUAAAUAAAGUUGAACGUGAAAUUGACAGGUAAUUCAAUGAUGUUUUUAGGUAAUUGAAGAAUUGGCACUCAAAAUCUAAAGUUGGUGGGCAAUCUAAGGUAAGUAACCCUGAUAUAAUCUUAUGGUUGAAUCAAAUACUUGUUUAUGAAAUUGUAUAUGGUUAUUUAUGUUUUCAUAAAAUUAGGAUCAAGCAUGUGUUAGCAAAUGAUUACAUGAUUUUGGAUAAAUAGCAUCUAUCAUGAUCAUUAUUAUAUUAUGUACCCAUGAUUAUGAUGUUAUAGAAAGAUGCAUAGAAAAAUAAAGUUUUCAGCAUGAUCAUGAAUUUUAUUCAGUAUGAUGCCAUUAUUCACUUUCCAAUGUAUCGAUGAGAAAAGAUUUAUGAAAAGCAUGAUAUGUUUUAAAGAACUCUCAGAUUGCUAUGUACGACCCCCGCCAGUGGGUAACAGUAACUAGGCAUACGACCCCAGCCAGUGGAAAAAAAUAACUUGGCUUUACGACCCCCGCCAGUGGUUAAUAGUAACUGGAAGAUGACCCUGCAGUGGUAAAGGCCUUGCCGUGGGAAUAAGAGCGGCCAUAGCUACACUACCAUCUGAGAGUAUGAAUUUCAAAGUAUGGAAUAAUGGCAAAAGUUUUUAUGAUGCAUAUACGGCAAAAGUAUUAUGAUGCAUAACUAUAUUUUUGAAAUUGCAUGAAUGGACUUGCAUAGUUUGAUUACUGGUUUGAUUAUAGAAAAUGCUUUCUGUAUUAAAUUUGUUUGUUCUUCAAAUAUUGCAUUAGCAUACAAAACACUAUGCUUGAUCCGAUGAGAUUAUUCUUGUUUACUUACUGGGCUUUAUAGCUCACACCAUUUUAAUUAUGUCUUUACAGAUGAAUAGGAGAUGCUAGGAACAAGGAGCGUAACAUGCUCUAGGGUUAUGGGAAAGACAAAUGUUAAAUGUUGAUAUUGUUUUUAGAAGCUUUGUAUGGAUUUUAAUACCUGAACAUUUAAUGACUUUCAUGAAUAUAGUUCUUUAGUAAUUGAAGUUUUAAAGUGGCUGCGUGUUAUUGUACGCUUAAUUUGGCAAUAAUACGGCCGUGUCAUGAACCGAAUUCGGGGCGUGACAAAAGCAAUGUCUAAAUCACCCUCGCUUUCUCAUUUAGUAGUACAGAAAACAGCCAUCGAUGAGAAUUCUGGGAACUAGUUAAUCAGAUUAAUCAGCAACAAACAAAUAGAAGAAUCUACAUAAUUUAAUAAAAAAAAUCUAGAUUGUGAAUUCAAUCUCACAUUGCCUCCCCUCAUUGAGGAGAAAGUGCAGUGGGAAUGAUAAUAUUACAGUCCAGUAUAACUAGAUAAUGUUGGAAACCAAGAAGAAUGGCCUAUCUACAGCAUCAGAAACAACAAAAACAAUACCAAGAUCAAAUUAGCAUUAUCCCAUCAGAUCAAUUUAUGUCAGUGAUAAAAAAAACAUUUAGGAAAUUGCAGAUCAGUGUGGGCUCAAAAAGAUUUUUUUUUAAAAGAGGCACAUUGGUGGGAUUUAUGGAAAACAUGUGACUUCUGAAACAAAAAAUGGAAAUAGAAUUUGAUGAAAGCACAGUUCAUUAUCGAAAGGUCUCUACAACCCUCAAAUAACAUAGAAGUAUUUGGGAUUUUGUGCCCAGAAAAAAGAGAUACGCUUGAUUUACAAAAAGAAGAAGGAAUUACAGAAAAAAAUAAGACCGAAUUUUUUUCUUUUUCGGACUCCUGCUACCUUCGAUUGCUGUAAGAUAUUUAUAAAAUAAAAAUUUACAGAUGAAGAUAAAAUAAAAGAAAAAAAAAGUUCGGCGUGCUUGAAAUUUUUUUUUAUAUUCUAGAUUCAUGUGGUUUUCCUCAGCGAGUUAUUAAAAAAGAAAAAGUCCAUCUAAUAUACUCGUGCUUGAAUUUUUUUUUUUUGGAAUUGUUUUCCUUUGUUCUUUGGAUUCAUAUUGUUUUUUUUAUUAAUUUUUUAUGAUUAUUUUAAUAUUUUCUGAAUUUUGAAAAAGGCUUUAAUUUUUCUCUUCUUUUAGUUUAAUAUAUGUCUAGAGCUAGAGAUAAGAUGGUUGACAUAAAUUGAUAUCUAUUUUAUAUUAUUGAACUUCCAUUAUAUAUCUAAUAAAUACGCGUUUAUUUGGAUCAGGGGAGAAAGUUGCGGAAAUGCGUCUAUCCUUUGACAAAAUCCACUUAUGCAAUGCCUACUUGCGUGGCAAUAUAUUUCAAUAUAUUUUUUCCGCUUUGAUUCCUCACAUUUCUCGGGUGGAAAAUAACAAACUAUAAUUCGUAAGCCAUACGAGCGGGAGACGAUCCGAUCUCAAGCCCUUUCACCCUCUAUCUUCCGUAUUCCCAUUGUAAAACAGUAGAAAAUUCUCCGGAAAACUGAGAAAGAAACCCCAAUCUCAUUCGCGAAUCGCGUUAUGAAUCCCAGGCAAACACCACCGGAGCCCGAUCGCCAUGCCGCGCCGUCUCCGGCGGCGGUGGCGGUGGCGGCCGCGCAGGCGAUCCAGCCGUCCUCCCCGCGCUUCUUCUUCUCGGCUGCGGCGGCGGCGAGCCCGGGCUCCCACCGCCGGAUCGCGAUCGCCGUCGAUCUGAGCAACGAGAGCGCCUACGCCGUGCGGUGGGCGGUCCAGAACUACCUGCGCCCUGGCGACGCUGUGAUCCUCCUCCACGUCCGCCCCACCAGUGUACUCUAUGGCGCCGACUGGGGCUCGAUCGACCUCUCGGUCUCCGCCGCGGCGGCGGCCUCCGCUGAGGAGCCCGACUCCGAGGAGUCGCAGCAGAAGCUGGAGGAUGACUUCGACACCUUCACGACCACCAAGGCCCAGGAUCUGGCACAGCCCCUCGUGGAGGCUCAGAUCCCUUUCAAGAUCCACAUCGUCAAGGACCACGACAUGAAGGAGAGGCUCUGUCUCGAGGUGGAGAGGCUCGGCCUCAGCGCCGUCAUCAUGGGGAGCAGGGGGUUCGGGGCCUCCAAGAGAAGCAGCAAGAGCCGGCUUGGGAGUGUCAGUGACUACUGUGUCCACCACUGUGUGUGCCCUGUAGUGGUGGUACGUUACCCUGACGAUGUGACCGGUGCGGGAACGGGGGCCAGGAGAUCGUCGGUGGAUGGUGGUGAUGGGGCGGUGGGGAAGGAUUUGGGGCUGCAGCCAGUGCCAGAGGAAGAGCAUGAGCGCCCUGGUGCCACCCAAGGAAAGAAAGGUGAUUCAAUCAUCCUUUUAUCUUUUAAAAUUUCCAAUUUUAUGUUUAGAGGUAAAUUAAAGUCUGCUUGUUUAGGUAUGGAAAGGUAAAAACUCGAGGAUUUCAAUGGUUUAGAAUACAUUUGAAGUCAUUUGCGCAUAUUUACAUGUAUUUUGAUAUCUUGUAGUGGUGGGGCUUAAGAGGAGUUUUAUCUUUAGAGGUUUGGGAGUGGGGUGUAAAUUUGUUGGAAUGUCUGAUGGUGAUGCUAUUAUUUGUUUAUUAUGGUAUGUGUGAUGUUCUGUUCAAUGCUACUAUCUUAAACAUCAAGUGCAAUUAUCAACCAUCAAGGAUUAUCCAAACUAUUAAUGGUCAUUUUUAUAAAUCCCUUUUACAAGUCAUACCUAUUAAGGCUUCCCAUAAUGAUCAUAGCAUUAGGAUUCAUCGUGUAUAUGUAUGUUAAAAUGCAACGAAUCCUGUCUUCUCUGGAAACAGUGAUUUUGUCUCAAUAUGACUGCUUUCAUACCUUACUGGGUAGAAUCUUAGUACACCCAAAUAUGCAGAACAGCUUUUUGUUUUUAUGAAUUUUUUGUUUCCUUCUAGAAAAGUUGAUAUUUUUUUAAAAAAUAAUUUUUUCUGUGGGGGAAAUGGAAUCUUCUUAGUAGUUUUGAACUAUGCUUUCUUCAGAUGAAGCGGCAUGGCAACAUGUGUAUCAAUUUUAAAAUUUUCAUUUUGAGAUGUUUUGAUCUUGAAGGUUCUUCUUUUUGUAUGUUUAAAAUAUUUGUUAGUAAAAUAGCAAGUAGACCUAGGGUACCAUUAAGAGGACUUCACAAAUCCCGCCAACUUUUUAAUUCUUGGAUUUGCUUUAAGAAGUGCACUAAAACUGACUUCUCAUGGGUAUUUUGAUGUUGGCGAAAUUCCUAAGUCAUUUCUUUCAUCAUAACAUUUCCCAUGAUUCCAGCUAUCUCCUAACCAAGCGAUUUACUUUCAGUGUAAAUCAUAUCUCUUUUCUCCCUUUUUCCAUAGGCCUAUCCCAACUACUCAAAUGGCCUACUCUCUCUUUCUGCUUCCCUCUCUAGAGCUUGACAUUGGAACCAUCAGAAUGGUUUAAUUUCUCUCAAUAUCUCUUUGCUUCAUUCCAUCUCCAAACCAGUGGUCACCUAAGGAAGGCUAUGGAUCAGAGGGAGUUCCGUGACUUCCUAUCGCGGAACAGCCUAGUGGACCUAGGCUUUUUUCGGAUUGUGGUUCACUUGAUGUAACAGUCAGUCCGGCGGUGCCGGGUUUGGGAGCGGCUGGAUAGGGCCGUUGCAUCCACUAAUUGGCUCAUCAGGUUUUCCUCUUAUAGGGUUAGCCAUCUUUUCCGGUUUGCCUCAGAUCAUUGUCCACUAGUGAUCUCGAUGGCAUCAGGCUCCAGUUAUCAUAGUUCCUUCCGCUUCGAGAAGGUUUGGUUGUCCUACCCUCAAUCUUGGGACGUUGUUCGAGGGGCAUGAAACUUGCCGAUUUGGGGUGAUGCCAUGCAGAGGGUGUCACGCAAAUUGGAGUUGACCAAGAGACGGCUGCGCCGUUGGAACUGUGGAGUUGUGGGCGAUAUUUUCAAGAAGCUGGAGGAUGUGGAGGCCGCUAUUGCCGACCUUCAAAGAAAAGAAGAUUAGGUGGGUGUGCUCCCUGAGGCAGACAUGUUAGGCCUCCGGGGGCUCCUGGCCACCCAUCACUCGAUCCUGCGACAACACGAGACUUUCUGGAGACAGAAGUCCAGGAUCCAGUGGGUUAGAAAGGGUGACUGAAACACGAGUUUCUUUCAUCGGUCCACAGUCAUUAGAAGGCAGAGGAAUAUGAUUCGGUCUCUGCGGGAUGGGAGGGGUCUCCGGGCGGAGGGAGAACCGACGAUCAGCCAGAUCUUGCUUGAUUUCUUUCGUUCUCGUUGGACGGAGGACAGAGGGGAUGACAUUGUUGGCUAGGUUCCGAGGGCCGCCUUGGGAGUUGGUGUUACAGAGAAUGCGUUACUGGUUCGAUCGGUGAUGGAGAGGGAGGUGCGGGAGGCAGUCUGAGCCCUAGGAGAGGAUAGGGCUUCUGGUUUAGAUGGUUUUCCACCCUUCUUUUCUCGAAGAUACUGGGCAUCGUUCGGAUAGCAGUGGUCGAAGCGAUCCCGUGCUUCUUCAGUCGGACAGGGAUGCCUGACGACUGGAAGGCCAUGUUUGUCAUGCUGAUACCGAAGCAUCAGGACGCUGCGGAACCGAGCCACUUUAAGCCCAUUAGCUUGUGCAUAACCUUAUAUAAAGUUAUGACAAGAUUAUUGGUGGAAUGGAUGAAGCCUUUGUUGCCCGAUAUUAUCUACCAGGAACAAGGAGCUUUUGUGGGAGGUAGGAGCAUCUUCGAUAAUGUUAUGUUGGCCCAAGAAAUAAUGUGUGGGAUCUUCAGCGGGCUCCGAAGCGGCGAAGCCUGAUGGCUGUCAAGCUGGACAUGGAACGAACUUAUGACAUAAUCAGCUGGAGCUUCAUUCGACGAGCCUUGGAGAGUCUCGGUUUUCACGAGACCUGGAUCGGUUGGGUGAUGGGGUGCGUUCGAGGAUCGAGGUUUUUCAUCCUGGUCAACGGCACUCCCUCCCCCUUCUUCAAAUCUACUAUGAGGCUUUGGCAGGGAUGCCCUUUAUCCCCAUACUUGUUUAUCAUUUGCUCUGAUGUCUUGUCUCGAGCACUACGGACUGCGGGCGCCGCUGGAGAGCUGGAGGUUUACGUCUCUGCUUCAGGGGCCCAGACGAUAUCAUACUUACUCUUUGCUGAUGACUGUCUCCUCUUGAUGAGGGCGCGGGUAGCGGAUGCUCAGGCUCUCAGGAGGGUGUUGGCCGACUACUGUACUAUGUCAGGGCAGAGAGUGAAUGCCCAGAAGUCCACCAUCUCCUUCUGCCCUAGUACAGUGCCUGAGGUUCGACGGAGGAUCCGGAGGAUUCUGGGGAUGCCAGAGCAAGACGGAACCUGGACUUACCUGGGUGUACCGAUCUCAGGUAAGAGAUUGCGGGUAUCUGAGUGCACCGGGCUGGUGCAACGAGUCCAGAGUAGGUUGGAGGGAUGGCGAGCAGCGUCUCUAUCUAUGAUGGGUAGAUUGACGCUGAUCAGAUCUGUAUUUGGCUCCAUGCCCAUCUAUCUCAUGGCGAACAUGGUGGUGCCAAGGACAGUGCUACUGAAGAUUGAGCGGUUACUUCAGGGCUUCCUAUGGGGCUUGCAUGGAGGUGGUCGAGGGUGCACUUGGUGGCAUGAAAAGCAUCUGCCGCCCAUUUAGUGAGGGUGGCUUAGGGGUUUUGUCUCUCUGGAAGAGAUGGGAGGUGCUCUUUGCCUGACAUGCAGUUCGGUACCUUUGCAAGCUGCAGGGGCCCUGGAGUCGGAUCAUGGCUGCCCGCUAUGGGAGAGGGGGCCUUGAGGUACCGGUCCGAGGCGGGCGCCGAUGCUUCUUCCUGUGGCGAGAUAUCGCGAGGUAUUUGCCUACUGCGAUAGUACACACUAGAUGGCUGAUAGGCGAUGGACGCAAUAUUGAUGUGGCUGGAGACUCGUGAGUCGAUACCCUCCCUUUGCGGCUCUGGCCGACUAUGGUUUGUGUUGAGGCAGGGGAGGGCCUGCGCGUAUGUGAUCUCCUUGUCCCUAGAGGGGCUACAUGGGAUGAGUCUAGGUUGGUUCAGCUCUUUGGAGGGCAUCUGGUGGAGAGAGUCCGAUCCCUUCCGCUAUCAGGGUGCGCAGGUCCAGAUGUGCGGGUCUGGAGCACCUCUACCAGGAUCAGUGUCAGGGCGAGCGACCUUUCCUGCAUCCUUCGGCAGCAGUAUGAGCGUGGGCCAGAUUGCUCCUGGAUCUGGCGUUUGGGUCUCCACCCGAGGGUAGCAUUGUUUCUCUAGAAGGUGGUUUGGGACCAUCUUCCAACGAGAGCAGUACUGAGUGGACGGAGCCUGAGGAUUCCUUCGGUGUGCGGGGACUGUGGUGUGGACGAGACAGUGGACCAUGCCUUGUUUCAGUGUACAUGGGCUAGGGCAACGUGGUGACUGGCAGGAAUCUCGUGGGAGGUUCGGGGACGAAGGGAGUUGUUCUUGCAUACCAUGUGUCGAUGCUCGGAGUCCCUACUACUGCGCCAGGAGGCGGCUCGAGCGAUUUGCACGUCCUACCAGAUUUGGCUGGCUAGGAACGCUCGAACCUUUGGUGAGCACAGUAUGUUGCUUUGAUUGGUAGUAGAGAGUGCCUGCGUACAGGCGGCGGAGCUCAGUCUCAUCACACCUGUUGAAGGGACCUUGACAGCCUAGGACACCUGGGAUUCCCUUUCCGCUUUGGCAGUUUUCUGCAUGGUGUUUUUCACCUGGGAGCCCCCAUCCCCGAGUUUCCUCAAGGUCAAUUUUGACGGAUCUUCCUUGAAUAGAGGUACAUGGGGUGGUGUGGAUUUUGUUAUUCGGGACUCGUCUGCCAGGGUUGUGGCUGCUGGGGGCAGUCAACUCUUCGACACAUCGGUUCUGGUUGCAGAGCUGCGGGCCGCUUGGGCGGGCCUUCGUCACGCCCGGUGUGUCUUACGGGCUAGUUCCAUUGUCUUGGAGGGGGACUCGGCCACUAUCAUCAGUUGGAUCUGGGGGGGCCCCUAUGGGCAACAGUUGCGCCUACCCAUUGCUGCGACACAUCUGGGCUAUGGUAAGGGAUGGCGGGGCCUUUAAGGCCAAGGAUGUGUUUCGUGAAGCUAAUGGGGCUGCGGAUUAGGUGGCUUCUUAUAUAGCUAGCCACUCCGGUACACUCUGUGGGCUGGUGACGGGAAGUUGCCCUUGGCACUCCGAGACAUUCUGUUUUUUGACUUUAUUGGGUGCGUCCGUACUCGUCAGGUAUGAUUCAUCCGCCUUAACAAAAAAAUAAAAAAGGAAGGCUGUUCUUUUGCAGUCCCAAUUGGAAGAUGACCAAUGCCUCUACUAAGCAUCACAUAAUGGGGAGGAAUGUGAGUUUAGUUAGGGGCUUGGCAUGGUGGAAUGAUUAUGCAGUGCAUGGGGAGGUGAAUGAUGAAAGGUAAGGGGCAUUAGUGGUGGGUGAAGUGAAAGGGAUAGGAAUGGUUGACAAAACCAUUGAAAGUGGAGAGUGGGGAUGGUGGAGCAAAUGGGGGUGCAGAUAACUAGAUAAGAUAGAUAUUAUGGGGAGGUGUGGGUCUAACCUCUCAUGGAGGAAUAGAUCAUCUCCAAGAUGAGCACUGUCAAGGACCAUAACAUGAAGGAGAGCCUUUGCCUUCAAGUGGAGAGGCUCAGCCUUAGCUUUAUCAUCAUGUGAAGCAGGGUGUUUAAAGUCCUUAGGGAUGAAUACCAAAGUGGCAGUUAGUUGAUAGGUGGAGAGAUUCACCUUACUGGUUGUGAUUUAAGCUCAUGUAACUAUGAAGCAUGGAUACCAAUGUGUUAUGGAUACAACAUGAUACAAACACAUGAAUAUAAUAAAUCUUGGAAAAUAGAAUACAAUAUGGCUAUGAUACGGCAAUGGUGUAUAUGUGUGUAUGUUUUGCAUAUAUGUAACCAAGCAUAUAUUAAGCAUGGUGGAUUAUGAAGAGAAUAUAGCCCAUACCAUUCACAAACUCUAUUGUUUACUCAUCAUUCAAAUCAAUAAACCAUAAUCUAUGCUGGAUACAAUAAUAUCAACAUCAUAGACUCGAAAAUUGACCAUUCAUUAUUAAAAGCUAGAUAUUCAUCAAAAGAUGAAACAAUUUAAAGCCCUCUCCCUCAUCUCUAGAGGUAUUAGGGAAGUAUGUAGGGUGUAUUUUGGAAGUAACCAAAGUGAUUUUUUAAAUAUAACAUAUAUCCUAAAAGUAUCUAACAAGUAUUUUAUUCAUUAUGGAAAUAACAUGUCAUUGAAGCAAUAUUUAAAAAACCAGUACCGAGUUUGUGUCAAUUUUGAACUAAAACAAUAGAGUAUCAAUAUGACACCGAUGUGGUGGGUAAGGACCAAAAUGUUUAGUGUCAACAAGAAUAAAAUGGAACUAGCAUGUACUGACUCCCGAUACAUACUGAGUAUUGGCUUUCAGUAUGGAUAUAGAGAACUCAUACUUAUCCAAGUGAGAAUUGGUCUUACAACUAUGCCAGUCCUAUUUUCUUGUUAGAAUGUAUGAAACCGGCAUGCUAAUUUGGUAGUAUUUCAACAACUGUUUUGAAGUAUCUGUGCUUCCUAGCAGCAUGUAAUACAAAAAUUCCUCUGGACUUGUAAACAAUCUGGAAGAAGGGGAAAGAUAAUAACUUUUGAUGUUGGGAGUUGUGUUCAACUUAAGGCACGAAAAUAAGCCAAACAAUUAGCUUUAGUUUGACAUGUCCCUAAACAUUAUAUAUAUACAUAUCUAUACAUAUCUAUACAUAUAUAUCUAUAUAUAUACACGUAUAUAUAUAUGUAUAUGUAUGUAUCUACAUCUACAUCUAUAUAUAUAUAUAUACUGUAUAUAUAUAUAUAUAUGUACAUAUAUAUAUAUAUAUAUAUAUAUAUAUAUAUAUACUAUAUAUAUAUAUAUAUAUAUAUAUAUAUANNNNNNNNNNNNNNNNNNNNUAUAUAUAUAUAUGUAUGUAUAUGUAUAUAUAUAUGUACAUAUAUAUAUAUAUGUAUGUAUAUGUAUAUAUAUAUGUACAUAUAUAUAUAUGUAUGUAUAUGUAUAUAUAUAUGUACAUAUAUAUAUAUGUAUGUAUAUAUAUAUAUAUGUACACAUAUAUAUAUUGAUGAUCCGAGUUGUUGGAUGUGAUCUACUAUCUUUAAGCUGCUUACAUAUGAACAAUCAUGUGAUUUGAAGACCUUUAGCCUAUGCAUUAGGUGGUCAAAAAUUAGAUAGUUUAAUUAACAUGAAUCAAUACAUGUCUUUUGACCACUUGAUCCAUUAGCUAGGGCUAUCCAAAUUACAUGAAUUUUGGUUUGUAACAGUUUAGAGGUAGUAGAUCAUAUUCAACUGCUCAAACUAUCAAUGUGGGGCCCCCAUCCUGGCCCUAUAUAUGCAUAUACAUAUAUGGAUAAUUUACAAUCGUGUAUACUUUGCAAAUGAAGUAAUAGAGAUUAUGGGACUUUUUUUUUCUUUUUAUGAUUCAUAUGCUUUUCAUGUUAAGAAAAAAAAUCAAAUUAUUAUGUCACAUGAGCAGAUGAAUGGUGGAUGAUGAUGUACUUUCUGCUGUUAACUCAUUUGCUUUAGCCUUGCCCAAGUUUGACCAAUAGAUUAUGUGUCAGCUGCAACCAAGAUGUAACAGAAUGUAGUAUUAAUUAUGCUCUGAUUGAUGUCAUGAAGCUUAUAUCAGCUGAUACAGGCCUAAAUUGGCCAAUAUGUCCAGAUGUUUUCCCAUUUUAUCUCAUAUUAAUGGUACUAGAUUUCAUGAAGCUGUUUCACUUUUUUUGGUUUAUGAAUGACAAAUUAAAUUGAAAUUUUCACAGGAUAUUUCAUCCCCACAAAGUUUUCAUGCUAUUUUACUUUCUAAAUAGUGUACUUGAAUACUCCCAACUUCGGUUUUUUGAUGGGUUGGACGCUUGAACAUUUGGGCCACUUCAUGACAGUAACACUUUAUUCCUACUUUUGGUGCUUUUGUAAGUUUAGCAUAACAAUUUUUAAUUAUUUUAUCAAUAUUUUUUUGGACUUAAGAAGCAAUAGGUCCAGCUCGUUAAUCAUUGUAUGUAUGCAUCUAUUCAUAUUUGCAGGUGAAUAUGUAAGAUGUAGACAUGUUUCCCUGUUUGAUGCUAAAGGGUUCCCAUGUCGAACUCUUAUAGACACUUGGAUUCUUGCACCCAUAUCAUAUAUCUGAGUAACAUUAAGCUUUGGAACAAUAUUUUGUGUAGACAAGUCCUAAGAAAUACUUUAUUUUGGAGAUAUAUUUGGGGGUUGAUUGGUUUUUCAGUUUUGCAGAAAAGAAAAAUUGAUAACACAACCUAAAAUGAAGUGAACUGAAGACAAACAUUUUUUUAGUUGCUUUUUAUAUACAUUAGUUGGAGGAUAGAUGAAGUUUUUUAAAUUGGCAUCCAUGGAAUGCCCAGGGUCCCAAAGAUCAUCAUAUCUUCUAACAUGGGUUGCUGAUUUGACACUUGUAAUAGUGAUGGACUCCUCAAAGAUUGCUUCUUACAAAAUCUCAAUGUUUUUGUUGCAGUUUAUCUUUGAACCAAUUUCUCCUGCCAUAGAUUUUUAAUAUUGGAACGUAUCCUACCUAACUGCAAAAUUGGUCAGAUGGAGGGGGUUCACAUUUUUGGUUCACUAUUUGAAGAAUGAUUUAUAUGCUCUACAUGGAUUAUAUGACAAAUUCGGGGCACUUGGAGCUUUAUAUUCUUGAAUUUCUUUUUGCGGACUUAGUGAGCAUAUUUAAAAUCCUACCGAUGUGCAAUAGAUUCUUGAAAUGUUAUUUGAUGACCUCUUGAAAUUGUAUUUUUAUUCUUUUUUACAUUUGCAGAGUUGAAACUUGAAGUGGAAGUUGUCCAUUGCAUUGCAAGGGUUGAAAUAUGAAGAUGAAAUUAUUCAUUAUAUUGCAACCAUAUGUGAUUUAUAUCUAUUGUUGUGAAAUUAUUGUGCUUGAGUAACUCAUGUUUGGGCAUUAUACAUGGUUGACUAACCUUGUUUACUAAUUUUUCUGUUUAUUUAUUAAUUGAUCAUUUUCUACAAUCAGUUCUUUGCAGUAAAAAAUUUCCUAGAAAUACAAAUAAGGAUUAGGCUCCAGUUAAAUUGUUGCACAAGAUGUACUAUAGAGUUGCUAGUUUUAUUAACAGAAUGAUGAAUUAUAUUAUGCCUAAUAAAAUAAAUCUUGUAUGGAAUAUGUGGAGUGGUGCUUUUAGGGUGUUAUGUCGCCGAUGCAUUCUCAGUAAAUUCAGGAAAGAUCUAAUAAACUAGAUACAACACCUGAUAUGUUUUUCUUUUUUUUUAUAUAAUGAAUAUGAAAAGGAGGAUAUGAGAAUUUGAAAAGGAUGCCCAUAAACCUAAUAUUGAUAGAGCAAGGAAUCAGCAUUCUGAAGAAGGUUUUGAGGGCUAAAGGAGAAAGCAAUGGGGAAUCAAAUAAAAUGGUAUGGCCACAAGCAAAAAAUUUGAAGCAGUUUUUAUUAGGGAUAGGUGCUUGGGGAAAAAUGUAUAAAGAGGAGGUGGAGACACCAGCUUACAUGAAUAGAACUUGUGAUGAAAGAUAUGGAAAGUAGUGCGCGAUUGAACCAAGGAUAGUGCUUUAAACAAUUGAUUAGUGAUUAUGGAUUCCCAGUUGUUAUGCAGUGCUUAGACCCUCUUAAUAUCUAUGGCAUCAUUAGAUGAAUAUAUGUGUGUUACGGAAUGAUAGAUUAAAUGCUCUGCCAUCAUUCAUAGAAGUUAUCACCUUGCUAUAGGAAUUACGUAUGAUUUUUCUCAAUUAACUCGUGGAAAUCAUUUUUAGAUUCUCAAGCAUUUUUUUCUUCUGCCAGAUGCUUGAGCCUGUGGCAUGGCGCUUAUAAUUCCAGGUAAAAGGUUAUGAGCUUUUCUCUAAAUUACUGUAUACAAUAGCCUUGUUAUUUUACUGCUUUGAUUAAUUGUUCUUUUUAAUAAGUUUUCUUGCAUAUUUCUCAGAAGUUCCUAUGACAUCACUAGCUACUAAUUGCUGCAGCUUAGUAUUACCAUUAGGACAUCCAAAAGUUCAUGUUGUAGGCUGUUUAGGUACUGAACUAAUUAUUUUGUCAUUAAUAUUUACCUUAAGCACCUGCAAAACAUGUUUAAGUUGUCAUUAGCUUGUCAAGUUGUCUCUCCCAUUUCAUUUUGGUGAAAGAGUACCCUUAAUUUUGGCUUCUUAUCUUUUCUGAGCAAUGACAGGACUUUCAUUUAAUGUUAUUUACUUUGGAAAACAAAAUAUGGUAGAGGCAAAAGCUUCGUCAGUUUUAAUCUGCUUCACCUUCACAGAUGAUUCCAUACUGUUUAUGGGUGGACAGGCCCCACCAUGAAAAUAUGCUUCUCAAUGGGGGUUGUCAUGGAGGCGAUGCUUUGCAAUUAGGAAAGCCAAAAUUGAAAACAAAUUGACCAACAGAAACCCCAUCUUUAAGAUGGGAAAACACCAGCAUUAAACAACCAAAUUAUAUAUAGACAAUAUGAACAUGAGAAAUACAAACAAAGACUGCCCAAAAGGAUGUUUGAGCUUGUGGAGAUAAUACUAAAGAGAACAUCUUUCGGUGCACCCAUGAACCCAAGGCUGUUGGUCUGUGGUAAGACCAUGAAUUAAAGAAAUUAUAGCAAUGAAAUAACUAUUGUUGUUGAGUAGCAAUUAGGAGGUCAAAGGUCUGAGACCUUGUGGGAUCUUGGCAUGACUAAGAACUUCUAGCUGAAAAUAUUUGUAAGAACUAUGUGAAAGUUAGGGCAAAGAAGAGGUAAACAAAAGUAGCUAGGUCGGUAGAAUGAUGAUUACAAUUUACAAGAAAGAGGAAAUGAAAACUUACCAUGAGAUAGAGAAGAUUCACUCCCUAUUAUUCAUUGCUCGACACAUGAGAUGGAUGAAUCAUGGUCCUGGAUCAAAUUUAUCGAGAGCAAAAAUUUGUUGGGAUAGGUCAGCACGUUUUCUAAUGGAAGAAACAAAAGAAAUUUAAGUUGUGUUUGUGCUACAAAGGAGAGGCACACAUAUAGGUAGGGGAGGGUUGGAGUUUAGGUGGUUGCCAUACUCCUUGAUUGGCUCCUUUCAAUUUGAGUGUGGUUCAGCCAUGGGCCUAGAAUCUACUGCUGCCUUGUCAUUACAGUUUAAAGGUUAAGCAUGAUCACAAUCACCUAAGCUAAUAGGGAUUUGAAAUAUGUUUCUCGACCUGUGUCUUCAGUCAACUACUAGAGCAAGAUAGAGACCAAUCCUCUGAAGGCCUGAUCUGUGAUACUCUGUAUUUUCAGAUCAGAUCUGAAAACAUUAGGAUAAGGUGUAGAAAACCUGCAUGAUGGGAAAGCAAUGACACUCCAGAGGUGAAGGAACAAGUCUUGGGCUGAAGGAAUUCAAGCAGAAGUUGAAAGAAAAGGAAUAAAAUGGAAGAACAAACAAUCUGGAAUGUCUAUAAAUCUCUCCAAUACUAAACUGAUGUAACCUCCAACUCUAAUGAGAGAUUACAGCGAAAGAAAAUGGUCCAAAUCUGAUUUCGAUUUGAAUAUGUAUCAGCAGGAAAUUGAUGUCCAAACAGUGGGGUAAAAUAGAGAGGAAAGACGUGGAGAAUAGAGAGUAGAAAGGAGGAUAAACAGGAAGGAGAAUGGAAGAGGAUGGGAAAGAAGACCUGCUAUCACUUAUUCUCACAAAAAAAGGAUUUCCGUACACUACUAGUUUCCAGCUUCAUAUAGAUCUAUCUUAAUAAUUUCAGUCAACCAACUUUCUUCUUCUGUUAGGACUUUAAAAGGAAACAAACAUGACACAAGCGACUUGUAAAACCCCUAAAACCACAGCUGGCUUGCAAUUCAAUUACAAAUAAGACUCCUAAAAAAGAAUAGAAACCAAAGUAUUGACUAUGGACCCCGAACUGACCCGUAUACUGUUCAGUGUACCAUAGAGUGAAUAGUAGCUAGGGUACUUUGGGGCUUAUUUUGGUUUCAACAUCCUAGGACUGCCUUAUAUUCCCUCUGAUGUUGUUGCAUGCCUCUCUUUUAUCUUUUUCUUUGUGCUAAAAAUCGAAAUGCCCCCAGUGAAGUCACCAUGGCAGUCAUCUUGUCUAACUGUCAUUAUUUAAGGGGAUUGUUCUUCCAGCCUUAACAUGAGAGGAUUAGGAAAAUAAAAUGUGAAAGAAUUUCAACUGGAGUAACUGCAUCAACUCACUUGAUUUUUGGAUAACUCAUUUUAGUGGCCAAAACACAAUUUGACCUGCAGAGUGAGACCUCAAUCUUCGCUGUAUGGGUUCUAGCACAUUUUAGCCAACCUUCAUUCUGUUCAAAGAUUGAGCUAAAGUGGGCUUCGGGACACAUUUAGGACCAGACAGUUAUUACUUCUAGAUACUUCUUGUGAUCAUCUUUUCAAAAUCAGAAAAACUUAAAUUGAGUUAUGAAACUCUAAGGAAUUCAGAGACCUGAAGUGGAUGAGGUUUCAUCACAAACUGGUAAAGCAUUGUUUCUUCCAAGAAGCUUGUGUUUUAAGUAUUUAAAUUAAUCUUUAGCAGUAACAUAACAUUCAUCAAAUUGGGCCGCAGAGCUAAUGUCUGUCUCUUCUGAAAAAGGAGUGGUAUACAUCUUUUUUUAUGGGGGCAACAGCAAUUGAGAAGCAGUAGCAUUUGAAGUUGAAAACAGUUGGAGAAAAUAAAACCUGAUACUUCAUGACCAAUCACUCCCGGUACCAUCCCCAUCCUUGCAUAAAUUCGGACAAGAUAUCCAGUUCAUUGGUUACUUACUAGUUGCAGAGAGUAGGACGCUCUGUUAUGAGUACAGUGAUCAGACAAAUAUGUUAUUUGUUGAAUUAAAUAAAUGUCAUUAUCUUGAUUUCCAUUGUGAAUCUAAACAAUUUUGGAUGUUUGUAAAGGCCUUUUUUGAUUGUAAAUGUAAGAUUCCUGCUCCCACCUUUUUCCAUUUGCUGACAAAGAAAGAAAGCACCCUUUUAGUGAUAUGGGCUCAUCACUUUAGGGUAUGUUUGGUUGCUUGGAAAAGCUAUUGGUAAACUGAAGUUUUGCAAAAAUUUGAGUUUCCAAGUGUUCAGAUUAUGGGAAAACUAAAACGAUAUAUAGAAAAUGUUUUUCUAAAUUUAUCUAGAUUUUUUAUUUUCCUUGGAAACCUUUUCCUUAUUCCAAAGUUUCCUGCACAUCCAAACCCUUAGAGAAGAGAGACAGAAAAAUAACUGUCAUAGACCCGUCCUUAAAUGGCUCAAUCUCGGUUACUAUAUUCAUCUUUCAGUUUGUCUGUAAUUUUGGGCAUUCCAGUGACCAAAGUAGAUAAAGCUGACAUUCAAAACCUGAGGACCUUGCCAUAAAUAUGAAAGUGAGUACUUGCAUGCCUAAAAUGGAUGUCUAAUCGAAUUAUUUGAGGGGGUAUUGAUUCAUUUUACUGAAGGUUAAAUCCUAUAAACUCUCCAAUAUUUGUAAGUACCCUAAACCCUGAAUUCCUAACUUAAGAAAAUUGAUUACUUCAGAUUUCUUAUGUGGUUUCAGUUCCUCCUCGAGAUGUAUCCUUUUCUAGUUCAUAUUUCUACAUUUUUUUUUGGGAACUAUAUUUCUACAUUUCAGUAUCAUGAAACCUAACAGAGGUGGCAAACAUGACAUCUCUUGUGACCAUCCAUUUCAAGCUCUGGUUUCUACAUUUCAAUUCUAUAAAAAAUAAGAAGCGGCAACCAUGCCAUAUCUUGUAAUCAAUCAUCAUAUCAUGCAGAUUGUUCCUUGUAGAUCUUUUUGUUUCUGAUAGUUCAUCAUAUGAAGAAUAAUACCUGCCUAUCAUCAACCAUGCAUGUGUUUAAAUUGCGUAUGUUACUGCAGAAGGUUUGCUUGUUUUCUCAUGUUCUCGUAUUGAACAAAGUUUCCUGCUAAAUCUAUUGCCAAGAAUAUCUCCUACUUGGAUUUUCAAGAUUUCCUUUGACCUUUGCUUUUGGAUUUUUUAUUUCCUUCCACAUUAGGCUGAAAUUUUAUGCGGAGGAUGUAAACUUUCCAUGUUUCUCCAUAUAUCAUUUUCUCAUUUAUUGAACUGCUAGACCACCUAAGCUCUUGUAAUUUAACAAGGGAUACUGCCCUUGACCAUGUCGACAACAACACCAUAUAUGCUCUGCCACGAGGAUCUUGCCACUGAAUCAAUCUCUUGUUUUGUGAUAUGAUCUUGUAUUCAGCUUAACAAUGGAGAAAAUCUGCAACCAAGCCCAUGAUACGGUAACAACAGUGAAUGCCUUAUUCUCCAAUUAUCAACAAAUUUCCUUUGCCACCACAAAAAAACAUCAAACAAAAUUUAAGGCUUGGUAACAGGAGACAAACAACUCUCUGGGAUCCUAAAUCCCUUGCUCUUCUUCUCAUGUCCAAUCUUCUCCCCAGAAGAGGACCAUCUUCCUCACUAGAUGACCCAUGAAGGAGCUCUGGUUCCAACAUUUUCUAAAGCAAUGAAAGUGUCACGAAUUCUUUUUUUUUUUUUGUUAUUUUUAACUCGAGCAUAUGCUAUUUGUACCAAACACUUAUUUUUCCCUUUUGACAUUAAAUCUAAUGCAAGAUAUUGGAUUUUUUGUUUCGUUUUUUCAGAAGGUAGAAAUGGGCCAUCCUCAGCAAAAAAUAAAAUGGGGCAGCUGCCAUGGCAUUGGGAAGCUGGUUGAAUCUUUUUAUAGCGGGGAUUCACUUUUUGUAAUGGAACAGUGUUACUGAUUGCUCUCUCUUGUUUAUUUCUCAUCUUCCAUUAACUGAGUCAUUGUUGAGCAUAUCGUAUCCUUUGUGUUUCUUAGAUUCUAACAGCUUGUCUCAAGGUUUUCCCUGCUUCUUUAUCGAGUCAUUUAUGCUGCUGUAUUUGUCCUUUCGUUUGCCGGACUCCCAUCAAACUACCAUGCCCAUGUAUUCGUGGUUCCUCUUCUUUAAUUUAUUAGGAGAGUGUCCUUCGAACCGUAUCAUGAUGGCUAGUGCAUGCAAGUCACCACUCCUAACGUGGCGCGCCCGUGAAUGCUUCUGUUGGCUUUACAUGGACUUUCGAGUCGAGGCGAUGUGAUUGAAACCACUUCCAAGUUGAUGAGGUCUACAUUGAGGGCACAUGCACCAAAUUCCCCCGCAGCUGCAAGCAGCACAAUCCAUCUAAUGCACACAUGCACAGAUUCAUUUGUUAUUUUAUUAUACCAUUUUGUAAUAAUUUAGAACCGGCUAAUUGAAAAGUAUUAUUUGAGUUUUUUAAUUUUAUAUAAGUAUUUAAAAUCUAUUUAAUAAAUAAUCGAUGUGGAACUAAAUACACAUCCAUACGGAUCAUCAUAUUUACUAUCUUAAAUUCAAGUCUAAUACUGUAUGAUUGUUGCUAAAAGAAUCCAUCAAACUGUGUACGAGCGGACAGAGGCAAGAUACCCCAAAAAAAANAAAAAAAAAAAAGUACAGCAAACACCCUGAUCCAGUCUUUACCCUGUACACCAUGCUGUCACACACAAAAAACAAACCGGGACGAGAUCUUAACAUUAUAAGCAAUCCACCCCCGCACGUGUUGAGUUAGCCGGUGGCCACACUUCGGUUAGCUCUGUCUGGGCGUUAGACUUUCAGCUCGUAAGAGAACCUGCAUCACGCAAAAUAAAAAUUUAGAUGAACAUCUCCCCAUCUAGCACUCGUCUUCAAGUACACUGGAGAUGACAAAUUUGAUGCACUUGGUCGUGGGAAUGCAGUGACGUGGAGCUUAACAAAUGCAUCCCUCCGGAGUUUUUGUUAUGUAACAGACAGAAUAAGACUCAUGAAAUCGAUCCCAAGUGCUUAGUAUAAUUAUGCAAAUACUAGUUCAUGCGCAUGUAAUGAGAGUCCCCGGAAGUUGUUUUAACGGCUGUGAUAAUGCAAGAACCCUUAUAUAAAACUUGUAGUCUUUUGCUGGAUGAUGCUUUGGGAAUAUAAAGUGAAUGUGUCAUGAAAUGCUGACAUGAUUAAAAUCAGACAUUACAACCCUUCCCCAUGUGGGAAUUGCAGAGGCAUACAAGAGUAUGCAUUCACAAAUUGUAGCAAUCUGUAACCCAACCAUGAAUCUGACCUAGGAGAAGUGGGGCUAUAAUUGGAUUUGUGUCAUAAAAAAGGCCGACUCGAUUAACCUGUGUCAAAAUUGUCAGGUUUAGAAUCCUCACAGAACUAACUUGGUUUGAUAUACUUAAUGGCUGGGUCAAGUCCAUGAAAUUAUCAUCCAACCUGCUCGAGACCCAUUUAACUAAUGAAGGUUAAGAUUAUUGAAGUUAUAGCAGUAAUCCAUGAACUAACACACUAACUUGACACAAAAGUUGACCCGAGAUGACCGAGCUUAGGUCAUUACAGACCCGACUCGACCCUACAAGUUCAUUAAAAGGAUUAUAUGAGGUUGUUUAAUUAAUAUAUGAAUUCAAAUUUAGACUUCCAACUUAUUUAAUAAAUGGAUUGGUUUGAUUUGAUUUUUUCCUAGUACGUACCUAUCUCUCAAGUUGACACAACCUUAGCACGAAACGACCUCUUGUCACCAAUAGAUGGAGAUCAAACACAUUCAUGCAUAAAAGAAAUAAAAAAGGGCACAAUAAACAUCAGGCAAAUUAUGUAAAAAAUACAAUAAAAAGAAACUUAUUGCACAUGAUAAGAAGGUAGAGUCUUGCUAACUAGGGCCUGCUCCAAUGGUGACAUCUUGCAAUGUAGCAACCAGAAAUGGUGCUUUUGAAUCUUGGACAGUUUGUCUCAAAAAAAAUCUAAAUGCAGGUAGUUAUAGCAUGAGUGUGUACCCCUUCCUCCAAGCAGGAGAGAGGGUAGAAAGGUAUAAUCGUAACGACAACACUGUUAUGAAACAAUGACACAAAAUUUUGUAUUUAGAAAUUAUUUAGCUAGGAUUAGAUUCUACCGGACGCUUGUCAGAGACAUUUCUCACCAUUUAAAAAGUCUUUGAAUUAAGAAAAAAGGCAUAAAAUCAUUAUCUUCUCUCUUAUGCAUAUUUUUUCAUAAAUAAAUAUAUGAAAUCUUAUUAUUUUUACAAUAAUUAAUUAUUUCUUUUUUUUUCUACCGGAAAGAUUUUGAGUGUUGAGUUUGUGACGUGACGAUGCUCUCAAGACUGGCCAAAUCUGGCCCUUCUAAAUUCUACUGUUUUUUUUUCAUGAAAUAUGACGAAAAAAUAGCGAGAUUGGUUGGAAGGCUCACGGUCUCAGAUCGGAGGACCACGAGAGGCGGUGGACACAAGAUCGACGGCUCGAUGAUCUCCGCAGUCUCGAAUCUCGAGGACGGCGGCGGCGGAGGCGUCGGCGGUCGGGCGGGCUCCUCCGUGCUGGUCUUUUCCGGGCGAGCCGUCGGGUUGAGCCGGAGCCGGAGCCGGAGUCGAGCAAAGGUGUGCCGAUUUCCUUCGGUGCUUGGAGGGGCGGUAGGAAGUGGCCUCGUCCUCGGCCGUGGCACCAGCCGGAGACCAUGGUGCCCGAGCUUGAGCCAGAGCCAUCGCGACGUAGCUCGGCGAGGACGAGAUGGUGGGACCCUCCUGCGAUAAGGCGUCAGGAAAAUCUUCACCGUCAGAUUGCGAUUUAGGGAGAAAUACAUGUGGAGAUUCCGGGAAAAUUUAGGUUAUUGGAUCAAAAACAAAACUAAAUUUCCGUACUCCAUACCUGGCUUCUUCAUGAGAACAAAAAUAAACACAUAAAAUUUUGACUCCUCGAGAUAAUAAAUGAAGAAAUUUGUGGAAGAAUAAGAGAAUAAGCAGUCAAAGACAAAUCAAAACAAAAAAAAAAAGUCAAUAUCCAUAGCUUCUAGAUUACCAUUAUUUUAGAGCAAAAAUAUUUAUAUUUAAAUUAGAGUGCAGAUUGAAGAAAUAAAAGAAAAAUGCAAUUUAAAUUAAUUUCCUUCUGUUUUCGAGCGAUCAUACAGGCUCAAAAAAAAAACAAACAAACAAAAGAAAAGCGAAAGACACACAUUACCAUCAUGUUGAAAGAAAACAUUGAUUGCUUUCUCUAUUCAUUUGUAUUUUAUUUUUGUCAAAAUUAUGAUGAUAAAAUUUUUGGAGAGGAAGGACGGCUACCUGAGAAGCGAGCUCUGUAGCGUUCUCCCGCAUCCUCUUCAAGAAUCCAUUACUGCUCCGGCUGGACGACUCCUCGCUCGUGGAAGAGCACGCCGGCGGCGGCGGCAGCGGCGGCGACCACGGCACCACCUGGUUCUCUCCAUCCUCCUCCUCUAAUUCCUCUUCCUCGUCCUCAAUUUCCUCCUCGUCCUCGUCCUCCUCCUCCUCCUCUUCUUCUUCCGCCAAUUCUCCAUAUCCACCUCCUCCUUCUCCUUCCUCUUCUUCUCCUCCACCGGCUUCAUCGCGACCUAUCUCCGGCGGCUGCUUCCCUCCGGCGAGGAGGCGGCUGCAGCGGUCGCAGAUGGAGACGGUGGGGCCGAGGCGGGCACCGGCCGCCCGCCAAGGCGUGGGGGAUUGGCAGGUGCGGCAGAGGAGGGUGCGGGAGUGGCGGGCGACGAGGAAGUUGGCGGCGUGGACUUUGGCGUCGCACUCCCAGCACAGACUCGCCUGGUCCGACUCGCAGUACAUCCUCGCCUCCCGCUCGCACAGCUCGCAUCCCUUCAUCUCUCUCCCCCUUUCCUUCCUCCCCUGCUUUUCCCUCUUCUCCUGCAGUCUUAUGGUAACCCGAAAAAAUAUGAAUAGGCAUCAAUUGCCCCCAUUUUAUACCACUUCUCCUCGUGUCUUCCACCUAACUUAAGACCCGUGGUCUCCUCCAAUUCUUAAUUUUGAAUCUCAAAGGUCUACUAGGAUUUUUCCAAUGUCAAAAUUUGUGAUUUAUUAUUUCCCCAAUUUUGAAAAUAAUCAUAUUCGUAAAAAAAAAAAUCAUAGAAUGUACAUGCAAUUUCAUAAAUUUUUAAAUGUGAACGAAAUUUCAUGCGUUGAACCAUUCAAAUACACACUAAAUAUUAUUUCCUAAAAUAAUAUCUUGGUUUUUAAAAUUAUAUGUACCAGAGUUCAACUUUGUUUGUGUGGUUAUAUUUUUUUCUUUAUAAAAUUAUAAUAUUCUUUCUAAUAAUAAUAUGGUGAUGGUGCGCUUCAUGGAACUUGCAUGAUGAGGUAAACUUCAUCUUAUCCCGAUUCUGAUGGCUUUCGCUUGGAUUUUUAUUCCCUGGACACGUGUCUACUUUUCAGUCCUCUAAGCUCCCCGCCGUCUCUUUACGACUUUCGACUUUCGACUCGCUUCAACCUCAAGCUUUGGAUAUUUUCCCGCCAUCGAUUACGUGGCAUCAGCUUUCCCUCUUUCCCACGUGGCGCGAUUUCUGCCACUCGAUGCUUAGAGCGGCUGCUGCUGCUCAAUCUAUGUCGCAUCCAAUAGCAUAUGUCAGGAUUUAAAAUAAUAUAUCAUUCGGUCUCUUCAAUCUUGAUGAUAAAAUAAUAUACAAGCGUUUAAAAGUAAUAAAAGUUGGAAAUAUUAUGCGGCUGAGAAACGCCGUCCCUCGUGGCGCGAGCAGGGCCACAACCGGAGCAUUUGCGGGUGAUCUGAUCUCCGUGACUGCUGACGUGGACAUACACGCGAAGAUUCCACGUGGAGCCCAUUUGCACUGCCUCCACCUCGCGGGUUAUACCGGUAGAGAUUUUUUUGUGAUCAGAUUACCUAUAGGUAAGCUUAGCCUAGUGAUAACCAUGCUUAUAUUUUUAAAUGAAAUAUUCAUAAUAUAAAUCUGAAUAUUGGGAAAGAGAUGCCUACAACUGGGCUAAUAUUUAAUAGAUUGGGCUAACUAACCGACUUACAAACAAGUCCAUUACUAGGGUUUCAACUUGUUUCUGGGUAAGUGCGAAUUAUAGAAAUUUGGAUUAUAUAUGUGGUGCCGCAUUGGUUUGGAAACUAAUUAGCUAGUUGGGUCUUGUAAUAAUACUCUUCUAUUAUGUACUAGAGCAGUAUGUGAAAUGCACAGUGGAUUACUACAGAGAUGUAGAAGGGAGAAAGAUAUUUUCAGAAGUUUUCUUAGGAUUUGUUUGGAUGGUUGGCUCAAAAUUUUAUUUGAUUAGUAGAUCGAGCAAGUAUAACCAGCAAAAUUACAGAAUUACAGAUUAGGCUAGAUCUAUAUUCGCAAAUAUUCAGAAAUAAUUUUAGAGUAGGCCGGUCUGAAUCUUAUAGAAAAAAAAUCUACAGUGCGUUUUUGAAGAGUAGACUGUCUUGAAUGGUUGAACCAUGGAAUUAUAGUGAGUCACUUUCAAUUUACGUCAAUGCAAGGCCCUUCCUCAACUGCUUUUAGAAAGCUCCACCUUUGGCAUUGAUACGAUGGCUAUGGGCUUAGAUGCCACAUGAAUAAGUUUUACUUGAAUGGUCCCCUUUAGAAUGGAAUUUUCCUAGGGAGUGGACUAUAUCGAAUCAUUGAUUCAUGGAAUUGGAUUACAGUAAAUCUCUUUCAAUUUACAUCAACACAAAGGCCUUCCCAAACUACUCAUAGUUCCAUCUUUGGCAUGGAGACAACAGCUAAGGGCUUACAUGUCAUGUCGCAUGAGUAAGCUUUGCCUGAAUGGCCUCUUAAUUAUGUACCUAGCACAUUGAACUCCUUGAUGUUCUAUCAUUUUAAAAUAGCUAUUAUAUAGUUAUGAUCCCAGCAAUCCAGGAUCGAUAGGCUAUUACAAAAAUUUUCUCAAACUACUCUAAUUUAAAAUCAUGGGAUUAGCGGACUUCUUCAGAAUACCAUAAAUAAAGCAUGGUGGUCCAAAUGGGGUCUAGAGAACGAACGGCAGGUCUUGCUUGUGAUACAAGGAGCAAUUUCCAGCCACAAAUCGAUGGGAGUCCGAUCAUGAGGUCCGGAGGGUGCCAGAAAUAAAGAUCCGCAGCCUUCCGAAUGGCGGGACCGUCAGAUUACCUUUUGACGGUAACAGGACGUCGCGGCAGUAGUUGGGCGGUUGGUGGGCGGGAGGAAAACGAACGGCGGAGAUCGCACGGAGGCCAUACGAGAUGGGGAUGGGUCAGCCGACCGGGGCACAUAAGGGUGGACCAUUUUAUUUAAAGUGUACAGCAGUGGACCCAAGAUGGACCAGAGAAGGAGCGGGUUGGGGCGAGAUGCAUGCAUGAGGAGGACUGGGCCCAGGCCCACGCUCUUUGGGGUCCACGCCGCCGGAGAACAUAUAAAGAUGUGGACAAUAUGGAAAGAUGGGUAGGCAUGUGAAGUUAGCAUGGGGCAGUAGAUUAGGUGGGUCACCCACUGGGGCCCACUAAAGUUUGCUUGAGCCUUGGAAUCUACCAAUAAUGACAAAUAAUCUAUACAUUAAAGAUAGGGUGUUAUAUUUAAUCUGCAGCGGCCGAAAUUAUUAGUUAUUGGUGCAUUUGAGAAGAGAAGAUUGAGAUGGAGGAGAAGAUGGAUAAGCUUUUGCACUGAAAUUUUUUGGCAUCAUGAGCUAGAUAAAAUUAUUGUUAUAUAUCGUUUUGUCCAAGAGCUGUUGAUGUUAUCAUGGCCUAGACUUUUAGUGUGCCGCCAGCAACAUAUUUAGUGGAAACAAUUGGCCUAAGCUUAUGAACUGCAAAUUUAGAAAUGAUGCUGUAUUGUUGAUGAGAUUGCAAUGCAAUUGGAACGCAUUAUGAUUGUUUGAUUUUUAGUUUGCUCUUUGCAUCAUAAUAUGAUUUUAUAUUCAAAAAUGAAAUAUCACUUGUGCUUCAUGAGGGUAAAUUAUACCUUGCAUAUCUCGUGCACCAUGCCAAUUAGCUCGUUUUCUUCUUGUAAGCUAAUCACCGAGAUAAGCACAUAAUGCAUGGAACCCAUAAAAAGGAGACGAGUUGAUUGGCAUGAUGGAUGGCCAUGUGGUGCAUGUGGUGUAGAGUAUAAUUUCUUAUUUUAUGAGAGCUGUCCAAAGCCUUUUCUGUGAGAGAUGGCUAUAUGACUAUAUUAGCAAAAGUAAAGAUAUGGUAUCUUGAUCGACUGCAAGUCACGAGUGAUCUGUCUACCAAAUAUUCCUCUUGUAAUCUUGAAAUAUUUUAAGAAGAGAAAAUAAUAUUACAAAUUGGUACGAGGAGAUGGUUAAAAGAUAACACCCAACAUGUCAGAUUUAUCUACAAAGAUGAUUCUUUUCAUGAUCAUUGAUAGAAUAAAACAAACCAUUCCAAAUUACUUCUCAGAUAGCGCAUGAAAAUCAUAUGAAAUGCAUCUCUUAAAAAAAAAAAUCAUAUUGCAUCCGUAAAUAUACAGUUGGUAGAAUCUGAAUCUAUCAAUUGUUGUUGUAACUUGGAUUAGACUAAAGAUGGAACGCUAAUGUUGCUCUCAAGGAGUCAAGGAGUUACAACUAUGUCGAGCUCACUAAACUACUUUGAGAAACAAAAUUUUCAUGGUAAGCAUGGUUUCUCGAUUGGCUGUCUUUGUUUGAGAUCUACCAUUGCAUUUUUUUUUCUUGGAUCUUCCAGGUGAAAAAUCAUGCAAUCUAUUGAGAGAAUGCAUAACAAUUUUGUAGUUGAUCUUUUUUUUUGGAAAAAAUUAUAUUGUCGAUAUGUAAGAAAAAAGAAAAAAAAAUCUUGGGCACAACUACCCUGCUUGGACUAGCAGAGCCUAAGGCUGCCAAUGGGCCAGGUUGACCCAUGACCCGACCCGACCCGACCCGACCCGACUAGAUCUGAUCCGACCCGAUUAGACCUUAUUCGACCCAUUUUAAAGGAUUCGUGGGGCUGGAUUGGAUUCUAAAAUUGGACCCAUUCCAUUUUCGGGGCCAGGUCUGAGUUUUCUGAAUUCGGACCCGACCCAAUUCAUUUGAAAUUUAAAUAAUUUUGGAUUUCCAACCCUACGACUAGACUCGACCUGAACCUGCUAAAUUAUUUGGGCCCGCAGGCCGCAAGGGUUCAGGCCCAGCCGCCCAGCUAGGAACUUGCAACAUAGAAUACAACGACACAUGCUACUACACUCUUAAAAUCAUUAUUAGCCAGGUAUGUGUUGGCUUCUAUUGCUAUGAGCUAAAAUUUAGAAGAAGAAAAUAGUUAAUAGCCUAUAACUCAGAAGACAUUUUAACAAUGGAAGUCUAUUUUUUUGCGAAAAGAGUGCAAUCUUUAGGAGGUAGCAGCAUCACGAUGCUACCCCAUUUAUUUAAAUUGAACCAGAAUGGAUUUUGCUUACUAAUGCAUACUAAUUGACCAUUAGAAUUGUUAGAAUCGUAAACCCAGCUGGUUUACAUUUCCACACCAUCUCUGAAUGGCAUAGAUCAUAGUAUUUCCUCUCUAUUUCUCUACUUUUAAAAAAAUGAUCUUAAAAUUAUAGUAAACUCUCUAGUUUUCUGUAGUCUAUCACGGGUUUCCCAUCUCAUAUUGUUGAAGCAAUUUUUCUUUUAAUACAACUAAUAACUCUAUGACAUCAUUGAUGCCUCCAUGUUCUAUUGUUGACAACUAAUAAUUCUAAGCACUAACUAUAGUCUCUUGGUCAUGGUUUUGGAAACCUUCCAAGAUCACCACGAAAAUAGAAAUACUAAACAUAUGAGGUCACAUCACGAAAGAAUGAUUACUCACCCAUAGAAGGAAUGGAGGGAGUUGGCCGUGGAUUAUCAUCACAUUUGAUGCUGAACAAUGGAGAAAAGAAAGGGUGCUAAAGCAUCAAGAAGAGUUAAGAUGAUGAGCAAGUCUAAGUUAAGAUGGAUGGAGAAAGAAUGCUCGAUAAAAUAAAGCAUAUGAAAGAUGGUUGUGAUUCCAUCUCAGAAGAGAAAGGAGGCACCUAAAGCUAGGAACAACUUGGGAAGGGAAUGGAAGGACCAAGCUACUGAUUUUAGAAAAACAAAUAUUUGCAGUGUAAGCAAAGUCAUUAGAGUAUUAGCUUAUAUUCUUACCUGGCUUCUGGACCCGACUUGGACCCAACUUAGACUUGAAUUUUUUGGGUUGGGAUCGGGUUAUACAUGGAGCCGACUAGACCCGAAUAAUCCAUUGGGUCAAAAAUUGUAACCGUGGACUCACCUGAUCUUCUAGUGGGUUAAGUUUAUGUCUAACAUUAGGACCCAAAUAAGAAACUGGGUUAGGUUUUGGUUACUCAUGACCCAGUCCAACCCGGCCUAUUUGCACCGCUAGUCAUCAGCUAUUUAUGGUCGUUUGUGUUUGGCACGAUGGCUAUGAUUGGGUCCUACUCAAUCAUGAUCAAUCACGACCGUUGCACCAAACAUGAAUAACCCUUGAUUGGUUAACAAGCCUCUUCGGUCUAAGAAUGAACCGAAAAGGAUUCAGGUUCAUAAAAGUGGAUUUGUAAAUGUUUAAGUUAUUGGGUCAUUCGGGUUUUACGAAAUCUCUUAUAUGAAUAGAGGAAUAUGAAAGUGGAUUUGUAUGUUUAUUUGGCCAUAUGUUUAAGUUCCUAUUUCUUAUACUAUAUGGCAAGGAUGGAUUGGUGCACUACAACAAAAAUAGAAUUUUCUGACUGUUAUGUGCUGACGCAAGAAAGAAACAUCGGCAAUUUGGUGAGCAUGCCAAAAUUUGCUGACGAUUUUUAGUAGUAUUGGUAGGGAUGAAACUAAGAUGACGCUAGUUAGUGUUGUUGAAACCAAAUUGUAAGACGACGCUUCUAAGCAUCGUCGGAAGCCAAAAAGGAAAAAGAGCAGACGACGCUUAAAAGCAUCGUUGAAAUCUAACUCACUAAACCCCCUACUUAACACUAACUUUUUUUUUAAACUCCUUAAAUACUAACCUAAGACAAUACUUGUAAGCGUCGUCGGACGCCACUUAGGCCAGACGAUGCUUAAAAGUGUCCUCGGAUGCCAACCCACUCCCUUCUUGGGCCAGACGACGCUUAAAAGCGUUGUCGGUCACCAACCCACUCCCCCACACUUGGGCUAGACAACACUUAAAAGCGUCGUCAGAAUCCCAUGGUCUAAACCCACCCUAUAAAACACCAAUCCCCUAGCCAAGUGAUGGAAACCCUAGCUGCAGUCACAAAGAGAAAGAGAGGGAGAGAGAGAGAGAGAGAGAGAGAGAGAGAGAGAGAGAGAGGAGGAGGAGGAGGAGGAGGAGGAGGANNNNNNNNNNNNNNNNNNNNGAGAGAGAGAGAGAGAGAGAGAGAGAGAGAGAGAGAGAGAGAGAGAGAGAGAGAGAGAGAGAGAGAGAGAGAGAGAGAGAGAGAGAGAGAGGAGAGAGAGAGAGAGNGNGNGNGAGGAGGAGGAGGGGAGCCGAAGAAAGUGCUAUGGAGAUCUAGACGCUGAGCUAGGAAAGGUCACCGACGACUUCGAUGGGGUACUUGAGGUUGGGGUUGGGAAAGAUGGAGAAGGAGGUGGCAGAGUCGUUAGGGGUGGAGUAGGGGAAGGGAGAGCCUCGGUGUGGAUGCCGGGUGAGGUGGAGACGAGGAUCUCUUGGUGGCAAAAGUCAAUAAGGAGCUUCCAGGCAUUGAGGUCGGCUUGCUUGUUGGGAUCUUAGAUGAAGGGGCGGAGCCGCUGCCUGCACUGGAGGAUGCCAUUGCAGUCCGAGGCGGAGGGCGCUGGGGCGAAGGCAUCAGGCGGAGUCCCCAUCGCCAAACCCCUCGCUUGGAAGAAGCUCCGAAAAAUAGGAAGAAGCUCUGGAAGCCGAGAAGAAGCUCCGGAAGCUUGUUUGAGUGGGUUGUUUGCCCACUUGCAUGUUUUUUUUACUGUUUUUUGUAUUUUUGUAGCAUUCAUCUCUAGUCCUAUCCAUUUUGUUAUAUAUAUAUAUGUAUAUAUAUAUAUAUGUAUGUAUGUAUGUAUGUAUGUAUGUAUCUCAUUUCUUGCUUUCCUCUCAUUUAGAUAUGUUGGCUUUUUUAAUUUUUAUAUCACGUUAAGAGUUUCCCCCUCAUAUGGUAUUCAGUUGCUGCCUUUUGUAAUUAAAUUUCUUUCAUUUUCUUUAUUGUGGUUGUGACCGUGAUGGAUGGAAUAGAAGAAGAAAAGAAAUGAAAACGAGGAUGCGAAAGAGAUGGAAACCGGAUUUGAGAGAACCAUUGAAUAGUCUCUCUAAUUGUAAUUUAUAAAAAAAACAUCAUAUAAAUUGUAAUUUGUAAAAGAAACAUUGGUCAUUUGUAAAAGAACCAUUGAUCCAAGCUUUUUUUUUGCCCCUAGAAAAAUUAAUUAGGCUUUUUCAAUAUUUUUUUAAAAAAACUCUAAUGACGCUGUAAAGCAUCGUUAGAAUAAGUAUUACCGACGCUUUAGAGCAUUGACAAAGCUUCCGUUAUCGCCGAGGCUCUUCAAAAGCGUCGUCAAAAAAUUUUUCACUCUCACCUAGCCGAUUGCAAUGCUUUGGAAAGCAUCAGCGCCAAAAUUACCAAUGCUUAUAAACAUCAGUACGGGCUUUAAAAAGCGCCAGAAAAGACAAGCUUUUUUGUAGUGGUGCAGCCUGCACAAUUUAUUGUCAAACAUGGAUUUAGUUGAUUAUGAGUUUGCUAGAUCCGUUACUGUCUUUUAUGUGAACAAAACAUGUAUCUUGAAAUAUUUUUCAAUUCAAAAACGUGUCGAGAAAGGCUACAUAGCUGUUUUUGAAGCUAUACACUAGUGGAUUUUAGAUUACUUCAGACUAAAACAAGGAUUUUGUCUUCAAAGUUCUCUAUAGAUCCAAGGCAUUCCCAAGCCAUUCCCGCUUCAGGGGUCUUUGGAGGAGAGGUGGGGAAAGAUGGUAGCACUCGUUAUAAAGAUCCAGGGCAUCCUACUCCCUUGCUGGUGUCUCGGGAGCAGAGUGGAAAUCUGAUAGCAAGAGCCAUUGGGUCCGGCCGGUGCACCAAACUUCCAAUCCAGAUUUAGUAAUUCUAAAGAUUGGGAUUGUCUCUGGUUCCAACUUGGACCACUAGGAGUCCGUCUUCCGAUCACGGCGUUAUUGAUUAUCACUAUGAUUAUGAUCAGAUAGGUGUCACAACCUAGGACCUCACCCAAAAAGCCUAGCCAGAAUAUAUUAUGUGGGCUCCUUGAUCCUAUAUAAGUAUCCAAGAUCUAUCUAGUGAAUAACUAAUAUAGGACCAAACAUAUGUCCGCACAAUCCUCACAUACUCCCUCCGUCUAAGCCCUGAAGUCCUCAUCAGGUUAAGGGUUCAAAUUCACUCAAAUCUAAUCCCAAACACCAUGAUCGACUCGUGGUCUAUCCCAAUGGAUUUUUGCUGCAGUGUCUCCCAGUCCACAUUGGUUAUGGAUUGGAUCUACCUCAUACUAUUUGUUAUAACACAGGACUUCACCCAAAAAGACUAGCCAGAAUGUAUUAUUUGGGCUUUUUGAUCCUGUAUAAAUAUCCAAAAUCUAUUCAGCGAAUAACCGAUAUGAAACUAAAUACAUGCCUGCACGGUCUUCACAAUAGGAUCAUUGCAUCAUAUGAGGCAAUGCACCAGUAGACUCCAUAUGGUCGCAGUCAUCGUUUCAAUUACGGAUGGUUGUAAUUGAAAGUCGAGCCCCCUCCACUCUAAGUCGGGAUUGGAGAACAUCUGCAUCCUGAGUUUGAAUUCUGAUCCAAACGGUGGCUUUAUUCACUACACUGUAUCCAUGCCGAGACUACAGUCUAAAGGUCCAUCCAUCAAAGAAGAUGCAGGUUGAGUGAAUAUGGUAUAGACUAAGAGGACGAGAGCUAUCGGCUUAGGACGAGGAUUUUUAUGAAGCAGAAGCUAAGGAGUAGCUAACUUGCGGUUACUACUACUCGAUAAGCAAAUGAAUGGUAGUGCUAUUCAGAAUAUAUGAGUAGUGGAAGAAAGGUGCUUAUCAUGCAUAGUAGGCCACGUAAUACAAACUAACAAAUAGUUACACCUAUCUUAUACUACUAUCUAGAACAUAUGGAAGGAGGUGGGAUAGUUGCACUUAUCUUACCACUAUCUAUAUCACUACUCAGAACAUGGAAGAAAUGGUACAAUUACUGGAGAAUGUAGAAGUAAUAUAAAGAAGAUAACUACUACAACUAAUAAUAGUAGCCCAUGUGGCACAAACUAGUGAGGACAACUAUCAAAAGUCGAGUCACGGCAUUUAUCGCGGCAUUUAAUGGGAGCCACUUAUAAGUAUCAAAUGAUAAUAUCAAAAGAAUUUUUUUUGUCUAUUUGGUUUCGGAAUCGAAAGAUGAAUCUUUUGACCACGUUGCAAGUUGAGGUUGUGGUCUUAACAUACUUUUUGAACUCUAUACUUUAGUUUCGUAGUAGGGUUCUAAUUUACUUGUAGUAGUAGCGGUAGAAUACCUCGUAACAUAUGAUAUGAUAGUAGUAAAAGCUCUUGAAGAUCUAGACACCUGAACCUACGCUACUAUCAUUAUUCUUUUUUUAUUUGCUUUCGGUUAAUUUGACGUUGGUGCAUGCCUACGCAUUUAGCUAACCUAGCUAUCAGAUUUGUUAUCACUCCCCGCGCAUGAGCAGACAUCUCAAUCUCUCUCUAGAUAGAAGAGAGAGAGAGAGAGAGAGAGAGAGAGAGAGAGAGAGAGAGAGAGAGAGAGAGAGAGAGANNNNNNNNNNNNNNNNNNNNGAGAGAGAGAGAGAGAGAGAGAGGAAACAACAGAUAUAAUUUACCACAAUACUCCCGACUAAUGCUAAAAGAGAUUUUGAUGCAACUCGGAUAUGACUAUCAAACAAUCCAGAAUUAAUACAGUUGCCUUUGACCAAGUAGGCUAUAAUUGCUUACCCAUGUUUUUUGAGCUAGAUGCUUUGAACUAAUCUUUUCUUCUAUAUUUUAAUGGAAAUAUGUUGGCUAUCAGGACUAUCACAUGCUAAAUCCUCGGCAUUCUAACAAGUUAUCUCGGUUUUACACGUGAUUUUCUUUUUCAUUAACACCAUUCCGUUUUCAUUUUUAUUCCCCUUAUAGCAUCUGCUAUUUUGUGUUUUUCCAUUAUGAAAUCCAUUUAUUAGAGACGGUUCCUAUUGUAGGCAUUCAUUCCAUGCAUCACAAAAACAAGAAUUUGGAUUAUGUGAUUUUGAGUUUGAAGUUUUUCCUUUCUUUCUUUCUUUUCUAUUUUUCUUUCUUUCUUUUCUUUGUGAGAGUAGGGAGAUAGGCCCAAGCCUCCGACCUAGAGUAUUAUUCGUUUUGAAGGAAACGUGCAAACAAGGAAGAAGAUUGUGCAAGAAAGAGCAAUAAAAGAAGGAAUAGAAACACUCAAAACAGAAAAAAAGGAAAUAUCAAAGCACAAAAGUAAACUUCCUCAGCCCACAGGUAACAUGUUUCAAGCCCCUUUGAGCUAAACCAUACCAUCCAGCUCGGCAGCACGGCUUGCAGGUCUUGGGAUAGGGCAGUGAGUAGACCUCUUCAUGGGUUGAGCUUUGUUGAAAGGUCAACAUGAUUUACUUUAGACCUGGGCCCAACUAGGCUCAACUUUUCCUAGCUCAGACUUGGAGUUUUGGGCCGGGCCUUGGACUGUCUGAUCCUAUUUUAGACUGUAAAAAAAUUAAAAAUACUUAAAAUACUUUUCUAUAUACAAAUAUGAAUAAUUAAAUAUUACCAGCAACCUAUAACAUUUCUAUUAUCUUAUUAAGUACAAAUAUCAGUACAUUAAAUAUAAGCAACAACGCAAGAAAAAAUAAAAAAUUCUGCAGGGCUAGUCUCAGGCUGGGCAUUACUCCCGAAGCCCGAGCCUGGUUUGUUUACUUCGAGGCUGUUUUCAAGGCUCAGCCUGGCCAGAAGAUUUUGUGAUCAAGCGAGCUGGGCGGUUUGAGAAAUCUUUUGAGACCUUCGAACGGGUAUUUGUAAUUUUCCAGUUAGUUGAUUUUCUUAAGAGUUAAUUUUCUCUAAUCAAGGUUUUUUAAGGCCUCAGAAGGUUAAUUUUCUCUCACAGAAUCAUGUAGUAAUCAAAUGCUAUGAUGCGCGCGAUCAAAUGCUAUGAUGCGCGCGUUACCAAAUAAUUGAAGGAGUUCAACAAAAACGACGUUCUGAGAGAAAACGUCGACAGCUGGGUUCGAACCUGCGCGGGCGAAGCCCAACAGAUUUCAAGUCUGUCUCCUUAACCACUCGGACAUAUCGACGAAUGCUUGCCGGGUGCUGUAUAAUAUCUUCUAAUUUUCAGAGAGCCAUUAUUGGGGCCAUCUACCAUGCAAACAUACGUAGAUAAGGAAAGAGAAAACAGGAUAAAACAAAAGUGAACGGAAUUUGUGCACCAAACUUAAUUAUGUAACAUAAUAGAGAUUAGAGAUGACUGCAAGCCUACAACCAGUCAGUGGAGCCUAAACAACAAAAGAAAAGGUUAUCAGACCGCAAAAGAUUUGAAUGCCUCGAGAACUUCUUCCACCACCCUCUCAGACACUUCCAUCAGCUCUGGGCUCAAUCUGACCAUGAGCACACAAAACUCCCUCUGGUCUAGAGCCCCAUCUCCAUCCAAGUCCCCCUCCCUCACCAUGCCCAUGAGCUCCUCAUCCCCUAAGCCUGCCAGCCCCAACGCCACCGAGUUCCUCUUCAAGCUCUCAAAGGUGAUGAGACCCCUUGCUGGAUCCAUCAACAGCUGGAAGCCUUUGCACAGCUCCUCCAUCAGCCCCUCUGCUCCAAGUCGCUGAGCCAUUGAAGGAAGAAAGUCUUCAAAGCUAAGGGGAGAGUCACUAGCCAUGUUUCCAAUGGAAAUGAGAAGAGCAGGGAAGGAGACUUAAAUAAGAGAUUUAAGGGACCGGGUAUCUCAAGGAAGUUGCCAUGUAUGGAUGCCUUCCGGCAAAGGUACAGGCAAGGGUAAGCUUUUGAAAGGUGGUUGCUGGUUUUGGUUCAGAGGAGCUUAAAUUUCCUGGCCCUUGCCUCCAAAUACCGGACUUUUUCCUGGAAGCUGCAUGGGGUUUUCCCGAGUUUGAGUAGUUUAUGACUCCCAAUAGGCCGACUUGUACGUAGAUGUGCAUCCUUCUUUUCUAAGUUCAUGCCUUGGGCCUAAAGUAUGUCUAAAGGGAAGAGAAAGUUUGUACCUCAUGGGUUCCGGGAAGCUAGAUUGAUGGGUGGAAUUUGAACCUAGGUCGUUGAUAUAACUUUUAAGAGACUUUGCCGACUUGAUACAGCAAUAGAGCUGAACAUGAUAUGGUACUGGUACAAUUGAUUGUUCUUAUUCAGACUGGUCCAUUUAGAAAACUGUAGAAAUAAGCUAAGAAUUGCAGGUCUAGCCCACUAAACUUGUGGUUGCCCUAAUCCUAACUCUAUAAUCGAUCUGACCUGCAUGAUCUGUCAAAUUUUGAAUGGGUCAAUGAGUCUCAAUCAAGAAGCACAUUCAAUUGGGUUUCUUGUCAGCCUGGAUCUUGGACUCUUACAACUUGCAUCCUUGAUGUCAAAUGUUUGGGGGGGUGGAAACCGGUUGGGGAGACCGGAUCCAACCCUUGUUCCAAUUUAAACUCCAACCAUGAUUUUA
rnacentral:lncRNA from 1 species